rnacentral:lncRNA from 1 species
AAUGAGUCUCUUAGUGGUGACUUGAGCUGUGAGAUUUUAAAUUUUUGUGAUCAGAAAAGACGGACUUUCGUAGAUUGUAUGUAGAGAUGAAGAGGCUUAAUGGAUGGAAUAUGUUUUUCUUGGUAGAUAGCUUGCGUGUCCUACUUGUGCUUAGUUUCUUCUAUCAAAAGAAUGAGAUAUAAUACUUUGUGUGUUUUGGGAACUUGUGGUUACUGUGUUUGUAUUGUAUUUCAGAAACUUUGAGUUUGGUGUCGGGUUGCAAAUGGGCACGGGAACUGGGGAAGAUACAGUCUACUUCAAAUGUAAGUUUUUUUGUAAUGUUGCACUUUCCAUAUGAUUUGAAGGGUUUCUGCCUUUUGACUAGGGUGGUUUUGUUGCUAUCAAAGGCUGUGAAAGUGUUUACUGAAGAGCUUGUUCCAGCAAACCCAGAUACUUUGGAAGGUGUUGCAGAUCUUAUACAGCUUAGCUAUUUAAAUUAACCGUCUGUUAUUUAUAACCUUCGUGUCAGAUACUUGGAAGACUGAUGAAGGACCUCAGAAGAAAAGACAGCUUCUUCUCAGGGAGAAGGACCUCAGCCAUUGGCAAAAUGUUGUGACCACAGACCUGCUGAGGUUGAUCAAAAAAAAAAAGACCUGCUGAGAAUCUCGUCUUGUAGAAAGGUGGAUCCUUGUACUGGACCAGAGAAGUUGAUAAGGUCUUGUCCGGCUCUUGAGAGUUUGCAACUCAAAAAGUGUUGUUUGAAUGAUAAAGAAGGGAUGGGAGCUUCUUGGGGAUUAUUAUUUAAUCUUCGAUGGAUCCUUGUCCUGGACCAGAGAAGCGUUGGAAGCUUCUUGAUGUUUUAUAUCAAUUAGGUACACUGAUGUUUUGUAUAAAAUGAUAUUAUUGAGAAAAAAUAUUAUUGAUUUUAUUUUUGUUGUGAUGUUUGGAAAACCAAAGUAACAUACUUAUAUUUAUUCGUGGAGAGCUCGUGACUUCCUUUGAGGGUAAUCAGGAAUGUAACACAAACAACAUUUACAUAACAAGUGAUCAAGAUCGACAGGGCGGAAAAAAGAAUAAAGCAAAGGUUUAAAAAAAUUUGAGAUUCGAGUAAAUCUUUUAAAAAAAUUGUAGGUAUUAAGGGUUUUGAAGAAAUUUCAGUUUUUUUUUUAAGUUUUAAAUAUUUAUUUAGAAUAAUAUUUUUAUUAUACUUUUAUCGUUUUAUGGAAUAUAUAAAAGCUUUCUAUUUUUUAUUUGAUUGAUUUUAUUAACAAAAUUUUAAUUACACUUAGUAAUUCUUGGUAAUCUUCAAGGUAUUAGUAAUGCAUCCUUACACAUAGUAAUACUUUGACAGAUUUUAAGUUUUAUUAGUAAAACUAUGUCCAAAUGAUAUAUUUUGUAGUAAAACCAAUGAUUUUAUACAAUGAAUGUCAUUAAAAAAUAUAAUUACAUAAACAGUUUACCAAAACUAAAUAUUUUUGUAGAUUCUUCUUACUAUAGCUUUGCGAUUCACACAACAACCAUGAAAGUUAAUGAAUCAUUUUGGAAAAAUGAUAAAUUUUCCUAAAACUAUAAUAAAUAAUCAUCUAAAUAGUUUUAAUAGGCUUAUGUACUAUAUACAUAGUCUACUAAUAGAUAAUAUAUGGGUUCUAUAUCCUAAAUAUACGUACUACUUGCAAUAUAUAGGGGUUUCAAACUUCGCACAAUAAAACCCAGUAAUCCUAGUAAUCUGAAUUACACAUAAUAAACCCAGUAAUCUUAGUAGUAUGAAUUACACACAAUAAAUCUAGUAAUCCUAGUGAUCCAAUUAUUUCAUUUUAUUUCAGAUAUAUUUUAUUUCAGUUUUAUUUUAUUGAAGUUUUCCUGAAAUAAAAUGGAAUUAUCAUUACAAUUAGUAUUAUUAAGAAUUUUAAAAUUAAUUCCACACCGUACAGUCUUCUCUUACUAAAAUUAAUCCGUUUUAGUACUAUACAUAAUAAUACUGGUAAUAUUAUAUACAAAACCACAUUUAAGUUCUUUGCAAUAUAUAUUAUAUACACCAAAUAAUAAAAUUAAUAUAAAUGUCAAAUUUCAAAAAUAACAAUUAAUGUCUAUAUACUAAAAUCAAAUAUUUUUCUUAUCUUAGAAUAAAUAUAUCUUAAAAUAAUAAAUCUAAAUAAGAAAACUUUUGUAAAUUAAUAUCUCUACAAAUUAAUAAAAUUUCAAAGUUCCAACAUUAUUAAUUUGUAGAGGUUCUACUGUAGUUCUCUUAGUAAUACCCAGAAAUGAUCCUUGCACUUAUUAAUCAAAAUUUUAGGACGUUUUUGUUCGGAUUUUACAUUAUUCAUAAUGUAUAAUUCAUCUAAAUGAAAUUACACACAAAAAAUCACCAAAAAACGACAUAAAUUAUAUCCUAAACCCAUAAACACAAUUUUUAAAAUCCUUUUUAAUAUUUUAAAAUUUGGAUUGAAUCUUUUUUUUUACACUAGCCGAGAUAUACACUUCUUUUUAAUAGUAUUUCAGUAAAAAUUUCACCAAAAACGGACAUAAAAUAUACCCGAAAUUCAUAAACACAUUUUUUAAAUCAUUUUUUAUCUCUCAAUAUUUUCAUCAAUUCUUACUUUUUUAACGUUAUCCAUGAUAUAAAAACAUUUAAAUGAUAUUCCAGAAAAAAAAAUCAUCGAAAACAGACAUAAAAUAUACCUGAAAUCCAUAAACACAGUUUUCAAAAUCGUUUUUAUCUCUCAAUAUUUUCAUCAAUUCUUACUUUUUAACAUUACCCAUGAAGUAAAAAACAUUUAAAUGAUAUUCCAGAAAAACAAUCAUCGAAAAUGGACAAAAAUCACCUCUUCUUCAAGCUUCAAAAUCAUCAAUGGAGGAUGGGGAAGAUGAGCUUUCACGAUGGGAGAUAAAGUCAUGUGGGCCAAGUAAAAUCUCAUUGGUUAAGUUUAAUAUGUGGGCCAUGGUGGUAGAUAAAUUAUGAUUGGUUAAUUUAAUUGGAGAAAUUAAUGUAUUUAUGAGGUGGAAUAAGAUAUAAUAAACUAAUGGAGGGUUAUAUAUGGAAGCACAAUGACAAAGGGGUACUGAAAAUAGAAAAGGGAUAAAGAGAAUGAUUUUUUUUCGUAGGGGCAUAUGGAGUUAAAACCCUUACGAUUGAGACGAGAGAGAGAGAGAAUAUAAAAAUAGAUAUGUAAUAGAUAUGCCAUUUUUUGUCAGAAGUAGAUAAUAGUAUAUGAUUGUAGGGACAUUUUGGGGGUUAUGAAAAAUAGUACAGUACAUUUCCAUAUAACUAAUUUCAGUUAUAUUUUUAGUCAUCUAGUGCAAAUUCUCAAAAUAGAAAGUCAUAUUGGAAUUACCAAACGCUAGAGAGAGAGAGAGAGAGGGCUAACCGGAAGGGGGAAUCGUUGAAGAACUUGCCGGCGUAGGAAUCGACGCCGACGAUGGUGAGGGAGUGGUGACAUUUUUGGCAGACCCAUUUCGGAAGAUUCGGAUCCACCCGACUUUUAUUAUCUGUUUGAUGAUUAUUCUCCUCUUUCCUCAUCGCUCCUCUUCACCUCUUAACAGGAGAGAGUAUACGUACGCAAAUCUAUAAAGAGGGUUUUGAUUGAAUUCGAAGAAAUCAAUCUCUCUACUGGUUAAUGAUCGAGGAGCUUUGCUGAUUUUUCUAUGGUGACUGCCGAUUGAUUUGCUUUCAAUUCUGAUGAAGACUAGGAGAGGAGACCUCCUUGAUUAUGGAUAAUAUUUUAAAUGUGUUACACUUACAGAAGCACCAGUGGUCUAGUGGUAGAAUAGUACCCUGCAACGGUACUGACGUUCGAUUUCCGCUGGUCCAGCUUUUUUACGUUUCAAACAUUUUUUAAACUUGAGUUUAUUUUAAUAAGUUUAUUUUAAUUAUUGGACUUUAUAUACCUUUUGAAGCCCAGCAUUGGCCAGUUCCUGAUUGAUGCUUUGUCAGGAGUAGAUACUGGCUUUGGUCCAAGACUUGGGAUGGAAGUAAUACACCUAUGAGACUGAUUUAAAGAGGAGAAAGGAACAUCUGAGUUAUUAAGCCCCCUUCUACCAUAACAGGUACUGAGGUCAGUGACAGGGAAACAAAGAAGCUGUAAAAAUCUGUGAAUAAGCUAAGCCAUAUUACAUCUUCUUCGUUUGUAGACAAGCUAGAAAUACUUCUUACCUGCUAUCAAAACCGCUCUUGAUAUCUUUCAGUUGAUUACUCAAACUCUUGCGACGAUUACGGCACUAAAAGCAGAUAAGCUAGAGGAUGUGAUAAUAAUUCCAUUCUAGACUCAGAGAGUUGCCAUAGAACUUGACAUCUUAUAUUAACAUGACUUUUUUCUCCAAUAUAGUUACCAAAACAAAAGAGACCAUGAUGAAACCAGUUUACAGAGAUUGAGUGAGCAAUAUGCUUUUCCUUGUGAUGGAAUAAGUAAGAGUGAAUCCCAUCUGCAUUAUCUCGUUAUCCAUUGUUUUAAGUAACAGUGGCGCAACCUUUUGUGUUCGGAGGCAUCUAUGAGAGGGAGGAAGAAGAAGAGAAGGAGACGGAACUGUUUUGAGAACGCCAUUAGUGAUGGUGAAUAAGAUAUACUCACUAUAACUACUUGUACUUAAUGGAAAAUAUCAAAGGAUAGCGUACACAUGUAUAUAUAAGUUGGUGCGUAAGUUUUGUAGACAACAAGUUCAAUAACCUCUCAGGAUAUUCUUGCAACAUAUACUGUAAAGUCAUAUAAUGAAGUAGAGUUUUAUCUUACCGAAGAGUAAAAUGAUUUGCAUACCAGAGAUAUACUAAAGGCUCUAUUGUGCAUUUGUGUGACCUUGAUAACACACUGUGAACAGGAACUCAGAGUAGCUGUUGGGAGAUUCUGAUGGCAACAAUGUCACCAUCAGUUCCUGCUUUCAUCGUCUGAUAUUUCACAAGGGUUCCUGCAUUUAGAUAUGUGAAGAGUUAUAAUUGUGUGUUCUUCAUAAAGAUGGUUGAUUAUGCAAAUUGAUAUAGACAUAUAUGUAAUACCUUCGUUUUUCUGUAACCUUGUGUGAACAGCAACUGCGUGGGUUGUGAUAAAUGCUUUGGGUUGGGAAUCAUCUGGCUCUCCGGUCCAAGACUUGAGGUGGAGGAUGCCUAUAAAGAUUUCAAUUCAUGAGAAAGUUGUGGACCAGAGUCAAAGGAGAGAAUAAAAGGAACAUAAGAUAAGAAGUGUAACUGGGCAUGAACUUACCUGAGGAUGCAGAUGCCUUAAGGUGUUUGAGAUCAAAUAUGGCUCCACAAGCUGCACUUGUGUCUUUCUGUAACUUAUGAGAUCCGAUGAGAUUGUAGUCCCAGCUUCCAUCUUUGUAUUCUUCAUUCAGGAACAGUUCAAUGUGCCUAGUAUCAAGUGUUUGCAUUGUUCCUACACAGUGAAAAACAGAAAACUCUUAGUCUGCAACUUCUUCACUGCAAAGACUGAUACACUAACAUUAAAUUCUAAUUUAUUUGAGUUGAUAAGAGACUUUUACCAUCACAGGUACUGAGGUCACAGACAGGGCAACGAACAAGCUGUAAAUCUGUAAAUAAGAAAAUCCAUGUUACAUCUUCUUCGUUUAUGAACAAGUUCCAGAACCUAUGAUGCCUUACCUGCAAUCCAGAUACCGCUUUUGAUGUCUUUUAUGAUACAUGAACCAGUGGAUUGCAGCAUCUGUUCUAUGGUGCCUUGAACCCUUGGGACUUUCAGUUGACCACUCAAACUCUCAGUCAGGAGUGACAUUCGAGAGUCAAGAGUAAAGGCACCAAUACGCAUCCAGUCUGUAAUUACAGUGUCAAAACCAGGUAAAAUGAGGCUGUGCUCAGCAAAUGAACUACUUUGAGAGCCAGAGAAUUGCCAUAUGGCUUCACAUCCAAAUUAACAUGACUAAGAAAGUAUUGAUGAAUCAAAUUCAGGGACUGACCAAUAUGCUUUUCCUUCUGAUGGAACAAGUAAGAGUGACUCCCAUCUGCAUUGCCCAUUACUAUAUAAGUUAUAUUCUUCCUUUUUGAUGUGUAUUGUGUAUAAUAAUUGUUACCAAAAGCAGAAGCAUAUAUCUUGUUCCAGCUAGAAGAAACUGGAAACGGCCUCGGCACCUGAAGAUCACGCAAGCAGGCAAACCUCCAAAUAGACUCCUCCAUUACGGUCUUGUGAAACCAUUUGCUUGUUGCUCCCAGCAUCACCAGCGAUUUUCCAUCCAGAAACCUCGAUAUGUAUGUCCAUGCGUCUUGCUCAAACCUGAAUCGGCAGAGAAAAAAUAAUAAGAAUAGACUCACGAAUCUGACGCAAAGAGACUUAGAUCUACGGAUCCUCCUGAUUCGAAAUCCGAGGAGUUUUAGCAAUCGGUUUUCAAAUUCCUCUUCGUUGUAGCUGGAUUCAAAUUACGAUCGAUCGUUAACCACACCCAGUCGCAAACAAUAAUCGAUAUUAACAUCGGUUUCUCAUGCAAUCCAGUUGAUUACGAGCUUUCAGUUCCAGAAGUUACCGAAGAUGAUUGAUCGAGUUCUAAGUCCUAGAUCUAUACAACACAGUUAGAUUAAACGCCUUGCAAACAUUUCGAAAUCAAAGCGGAGCUCAGGUCGAACUCGAAUAGCAAACUAUCCGCGAUCAGAUCAAUUUCGUUAAUCAAAUCGGAACUGAGUGUGUUCUAGAGAGGAAGAAAGUACCAGAAGAAGCUGGGACGGUGAGUAGAAGCAGAGCACCGAGGAGAUACACAGCUACGGAUUCCUCUCAGGAUCUUCUUCCCCUUCUUCUGUUCGUUGCUCGGUGCCAAUCGUUUCUUCCCUCUACCGUAAUCGCCUAUCUGAGGAGCCUUCUUCUGUUCGUUGCUCGGUGCCAAUCGUUUCUUCCCUCUACCGUAAUCGCCUAUCUGAGGAGCCUUCUUCUGUUCGUCGCUCUGCACCGAUCGUCUCUUCCCUCUGCCAUUUUCGUCUCCCUCUGGAGCUUUCCUCUUCCCUGUGUUAGCUCCUUGUACAUCACUGGAUCUCGUCUUCAUCUUCCCUCUAUCUCUGCUCACUCAGUAUCUCACUAAUUAAGCAAAACAAAAAAAAAAUUGAUUCAAAUAUUGUUUCUGCUCUGAAUCGCUUCUUAGAGACUAGUGAGUAUAUACCCGCGGAGGGGACAAAGCGAAUUUUGAAAAUUUUGAAUCGGAAAUGACGUUUCUGACCCUGUAACAAACUUUCUGGGCCCACCUCUCAAGAGUUAAUACGGUAUAUACAUUUUUAAUCGGUUUGAACUUCGAGCCCGGUUUACCAUCAACAGACGGAAACUAAACCGAGAAGAUUCCUCCCAAGUCCCAAGCUACACUAUUAUCGGUCUAGUAAAAAUUCGACUUUGAUUUAUAGAAAUUAAGAAACAAUAUUUAUGUAAAACAUGAAAAGAUAUCAACACUUUUGAUGACCUGUAGAUUAAAAAUCAAAUGUGUAAAGUCUUCAUGUGUGUGGGCCUAUGGGGUUGUUUAAAUCCUAAACAUUUACAAAAUUGCUAGACCGGGAAAGGUAACCGGCGGACAUACAAUUGAACGGCGCCUAACCAAUGAAUCAAGUAUCAACUGUAAAGAAGUCAGCAUGAAGCAGCCGCAGCUACAAUCGUUGCAAGAAUGAUUUCGCACUUCAGUUCAUGAAUUUGCGGCAGUUAGGAGCUCUGCAAAGGCAAGGCACUUUGAUUUCUUCAGAUUCAUCAACCUCAAAGAGAUAAUCAUACCUGUAGAGAGAAUCAGUUUUCAUGGUCAAGGUCAAGAAUUUAAGAGAAAUAUGAAUUAUAUGGGAAGAUGAAGCUGGAAGAAACAAGUGUUACGUAAGCUCUUCGCCUGGUGAAACAUUAGUCUUUGCAAUGAGGACGAUUCUGUUCUCUUCUCCAUCGCCUAUACUCACAAUACGUGCAUAGCAAUUCGGCAUACACUGCACAACAAGACAAUGAGCAUCAUUAGUGUUUAGUUACUACUAGUACUAGGUUUUAGUCUUAGUGUGUAGGGAAACUUACCGAAUGGUUGAUCAAUCGGGCUAUGUUUCCAGAGUUUGUGGCAUCAAUCACUAUCUCUUCGCUUAUCUUGAACAGCUGCGUUUUUAAGAAAAAUUAAAUUGACCAUUAGAAGCAGCGGGGAUAACGAUGAAUGUGAGCAAGUAAAUCUCAACUUACAUAACAAUCUUUGCCUUGAGCACGAUAGUUUGCCUCUCUCAGAUCUGCAACACUUCUCCUAACUUUCACCCCACGGUACUCGAUGAUCUGCACAAGAAUUUUGCUAUUCAGUACUUCCUUAAAGACGCACAUCACAUUCAGUUUAGCCAUUAAAAUCAUGAAUAUUGCGGCAUAAACUAAAUACCAUUUCUCCUUCUUGAAUACUUCUCCUUGCAAAGAGACCCCAUCCAUGUAUUCCAGAUUUACCAAAGCACACCCGAAGAUUUUCGGUUUUCUAAACAAGAUAAGAUUCAUUACAAGAUUAAAGGAUAACAAGAUGGACAAAAUAAAAACUUAAAUCUUAUUGAAUCACCGCUUACCUGCAAAUGCUUUAACCGUUCUUUGAAUGAAGUAAAACCUGACGUAUCUGCUUCCUGGUGUGACAAAGUAAAAGAGAGAUCAAUAUCGUGCUGAGAUAUUUAAUAAAAAUAUUCUCCCAACAAAGUGAAACAAUGAACAUGAAUGGAGCUCUGAAUGAGAAACUUGCCUUAAAAGAGUUGAGAUUCUCGAUUGCGCCCAAAGAAUGAUGGCUCGGUCCCUUCAGCCUGUGUGGUAUAGCCUCCAGAUCAACCUUCUGAAACAACCGCAGUAACAGAGUUACAUUAGUACCAAAUUUCAUUGACGUCAUAAACCAAGAGAAUAUUACAAAAAUGUCAAAUGUCCAAAGAUUAAAUGAGAUCCCCAAAUGCAUACCUUCGUGUUUGAUCUGCUAUAGAUACGGCAUCUUGCCGCAGAAAGAGAACCAUGACUCUGUUCGGUUUGGGGUUGGAUAUCGGAACCUGGAAGCUUCAUCUUCUUGGUCAAAACAAGUCUUGAACCUUUGAUGCGCCCAUUUUGAUUCUGAAGCAAAUUUCUAGAUCCAAAAACUCCUGAGGGUGUGUGCACAACUACAUUACUAUUUGGAUCUGGCUUCCUACACAGCGGAUAAAAUGUUACAGGUGAUCGACACAUAAGUGAUCAAUUAAAGAAUAUGUAGAGAAAAAAACCUGUGAAAAGCACAGUAAAUUGACUUCCUUGUUCUCUGCACACCAUCCUUCUCCACGCAGUGCAUCUAAUAUUUCCACAGAAAACAGCAUCAGACAGAAUACCUUGAUUAGAGUAUGAAUAUGAAAAAAAUGAAGCUCAUCUUAGGCACAACAAAGGCUAAAAAGAUUAAAGACUAACCUCCAUGCUGUAACCUGCCCGUGAUGCACACAAUACGUGAAAGUGAGUGGCACACUUGCAGCAUUGCACGCAGGAACCAUGUGUCUGCUUACAAAUUCUGCAAAACUAAAAGAUAUUUUCAUAGAAGUAUCAGAUGUCAAAUGUUAUAAAAUAUAAUAAAAUGCAUUGGUUAUACUUUCUACUUUCAUCAUCUCAUUAUACCUUAAGAAAUGAAUUUACUGGAAUUUUGAAAAGUCCAACAGCAGGCUCCAUAUGUUCGUGAUUCAAAAACCCAACUUCGGGCCGGAACCAAGCACAUGUUACAUGAACCCACAAACCCUCAACGUCGCUUGGUUUUAAAGCACCGCCUGCAUAAAUAGACGGAAGAUUCAGUUUGAAAUUAGUAUAGAGAAAUGGUCAGUGGGUUCAAUUUAUAGCGCCUAUGUACUUAAUAAUACGACCUUGUGACAAGCUAGUCAAAACUCAAAAAUAAGCCAUCACUAAUGCAAGAUGAAAAAUAAGCAUAGAGUGAGAUAGUUCCGCAAUAAUACCUUUUACAGGACAAAGACAACACUCUCUCUCAAUAUCUGGUGUUUCACAUGCUCUGCACACCCAGGAGGUGAGAUCUUGAGCUUUGCUUACCCCAUAGCAUUCUUGGUGCACAGCAACUUGACAUCUGAAGACAUAUUUGAAAGUUCGUAUGAGUUAGAUAUUUAAGACCCCAUAUUUGAUUGUACAUUCGCUGCAUAACUCAGUAAAACCAAAAUGGGCAUAGAGUAACCUGUUACAGAUGAUCAUUUUAUUUUCUUCCCAGUCUUCUACCCAUCUACAUACAGCACACCUUUCAGUCGUCCACUUUGCAUUAACUGGCUCAUACUUUUCUGUGCAUACAAAAUAAAAAGUAAGGAAGUCUACCAAAUAUGCACUCCGAAAGACAAGCAUGUUCAUAUGAGUUGAGCUGCAGAUUUACCUUCCAGCAAAGAGAGCAUCAUCUGCUUAUCUAAUACCCUGCAGUCAGCGGUACCUUGUUCUAGAGGGAGGGCAGUACAUCCUGCAAUCUGCAGUACCUUGUUGUCAGCACUAAAUCUCAUACAGACAAAAAAAAUCUACAAGUAGAUUUCAGUAGGUAUAUAUGAGGGCCAGCUUCAUGAGAGAAUAUUAUAAGAGGUGUACCCAUUUUUCCAGAGUUAGCGUCGNNNNNNNNNNNNNNNNNNNNNNNNNNNNNNNNNNNNNNNNNNNNNNNNNNNNNNNNNNNNNNNNNNNNNNNNNNNNNNNNNNNNNNNNNNNNNGCGUCGUGUCUUUCACUUUUACGCUGUACUUCCACUUUUUUGCUCUGCAGCCUGUAUGCCGUUCCCAUUCACUUGGUGACUGCUUCCUUGCUCCACAUGAGCCACACUUGCACUCGAUUCUGAGAAAAAAAAAUCCAGGAAUUGAUAACAGAAGCUUAGGAUUAAGCGUGUAUUGUAGUUUAUAAAUAAAAUCAAUCUAAAAGCAGGCAAUACCAACAUUUAUAUAUAGUGGUGUGUAACUAUAUUCAUUAAAGACUAGUCUGUCUAAACGAGGAAAUGGAAGGCUGGUAUAUCUAACACUCACACAUGAAACUUUCGGAUAUAUGUGCCUUCCAUGCCAUUGCAGACUACAGUAACUUCAUCCGCCAGCUCAGUCUCUGUUGCUUUUUCUGUUGAACUGUUGAACAAAGAUUAUGCGAACAGUUUUCAGAUCAAGGAAUUAGAAAUAAAGUGAUGCAAAUAACAGAAACAGGAGCAGCCAUAUUUUUGAAAGAGUCUAGCGAGAGCAACAUACUUGAACAAUGUGUUCUGUUCAUUUACUACUGUCGGUGACUGCUCAUUUAAUACUGUCGGUGCACACUCAUGCUGCGCUCUGCAAUCAGGGCAAUGGUAAUUGCUGUGCUCCAGUUCCUUAAAGAUGAUAAUCAAAUUAGCCCAAUCCAUAGAAAGUAGUCUUAAGUGCAAAAGGUGAAAAUUCAAGGAGUUGUAUAACUGCACCUUAAAGCGUUUGUUCGAAAUGUUGUCGCACCCAGCAUGUACCCAUAUAUCACACCCAUCGCAACAUACCUAUUACAUCAAUCAAGUUAGCUACAUAGAUGUAAUAAUUUAUCACUCAGACCAGUACCACCCAACAUGUUCAAAAAUAUUCUCACCCAAUCUUCACCAUCUGAAGAGUGCCAUGAUCUCUUGCAAAUGCCACAAUACUGGUUGGAUUUCCACAACUGUAACAACAAAUUUGGAUUCAGUUUCUUCUGACCACAGACAACCGAAGAGUAAGAAAUUUUCCUACGAACCUUUGCACAGUGCUUGCAUAAAAGCUCUUCAGGUUGUGAUUCGUGCAUUACUGUGCCACAACCGUCGCAGGUCCUUACGUCCACAAGACAUGAGCCCUAUAAAAAGUUGAAUCAGCACAUCGUUUUCUAGAAAUAUGCCUCAUAACUAUGAAAGAAUAAGAUACCAAUGGCACAUACAUGCGUAUAUAUAGUCCCUUCAUGAAUUCGAAAGUAUAUAACAAUAUAGAUGCUUAUGAAACAGAACAGAACUGACUGUUGAGAUUGAAAUUAAGAAUUUGUCCUCAAUUUAUUAGCUUUUUCUUCUCAAAUGAUCCAGUAUAGAAAAAAAACUUGAAGAUCUAACGAAAAAAGGGAGUAGGUGUCAGGAAAACGUGCCUGAGAUCUAUACGCAGGCCCAUGCUCCUGGUCGGAUUGAGUGGCAGAGGACUCUGGGCAGCUGAUUUCAGCAGCUCCACAACUACCCUCAAUCCCAUUCUCUGCUAAAACUGCUUCCUCAAGGGCCUUCUUAAAGUCGCUUGCCUUGUUAUUGUAAAAGUUCGUCUGAUCCUGAAAUCUGAAGAGACCAAAGACUAAGAACAGUACAAAUAGACAACUCCGAAAGAUUCAAGAACGACCGUCUCGAGAACUUACUUGUCCAUAAAUUCCGUAAACGGAAACAUCAUUCCUCGUCGGAUCCAUCCAUAGUCCUGUAAAAAAACAGUACUUUCAGAAAAAAAUUAUCGUACAAAGAAAGUGCAACAAACGCCAGAUUAAAUACGCUUCUUACUCUCUGAGCUCCAUUCUUCGAGUACCCAAAAAACAUGACACAGAGAGAGCCCGGGACGCAAUGUUUCAAGACGGAAUCCGGCGCUUGUGAAUCCGGAUCGAUCACUUUACCCGGCCAUGCCGGGAAUCUUUUCCCGCACUUGGCCCAGACAAGAUCGCCGACAGCAAAGUCCUCUGGUCUGUACACACCCUUCCUCAUCACGGCGGAAUCUUUAGGCUUCCCAGAUUCGGCAAAAAACUCAUCUUUACCUCUCACAGAGAGAGAAUUAGCGUCGUCGGAGGAAGACAACAUCGAAACUCUCAAAUUCGCAUCCUUUCCACCACCCAAGUCAUCAAAAUCGACCUCGCUGCUGUCUCCGUUAUCCUUACGUGGAAACAGCUCCGAGCUUCCCUUCUCACCGCCCUGGCCACCUUUGAGUUUCUUCACUACACGAACCUCGUCAUCACGUCCAGACUCCUUCUUUUCGACCUUGUGACGUCGAUUCCCCCAUGCAUCAACAACCGAAUCGUUAAACCUCGAGGGAGCCACUCGAACUCUGCCCCGCGAGGACUUGGACUGGUCUCGAUACUCUUUGCUCGUCAAGGAGCCUGCGCUACUCGUACAACAAUCCUCAGCUUCUUCUCUACAUGGUGGUUGAUCAACGCUUGCUCUGUUCCUCCUCCUAUACACUAUAAUCUCACCCUUUUUGCCCCCAUACUCAAUCUCCGAGCCAACUUUGCACCGCUUCAGAUUCUGCUCCUCGAAUGUCAAAGUCCGUUUCAGAAUCAUCUCCCUACCCCCACAGCAAUUCUCACCUCGUCAACAUACACGAAGAACCCAGAUUACGAUUCUUACAAAACCCUAAUUUCACCAAACGACGGAUUCGAGUCUCAAACCUCCAGAAAAACCCUCGAAAUUUAUCAAUUCCUCUCGCGAUUGGGCUCUAUGAACCUAAUGCGAAACCUUAUCUUCAAACCCAAAUUCGAUACGAUUGAACUCGUACGUCAAAUUGAAAAAAGUAACGCCAAAUUGUAGAGUCGAAACGACGGAGAAACAAACCAAAUCCUCCUCGUAGAAACCUUCGGAAUUCUCUAGAAAGUUAAUCGUUUCGCUAACGGAGAAAGAUAAACCUAAACCUCGAAAGCUCCUUAUGAUCGACGGCGAGAGAGAGAAAGCACGCGGAGGAGAAGGAUCUGUUUGGUGAGCGUGUGCUUUGGAGAAGGAGACAUACAUACCGUCGGUUUAUUUAUAUUUUUCUUAUUAUUUUACUAAUUAAUCACGGUUUUCGCCAAUUAAAACUCGCAUAAAUAAUAAUUAAACCAAAUUGAGAAACUGGAUUAUGUUGACGUGGUGGACCAAUGAAACAGUGUUUGGCUCCAGGGACGGGGGACGAGGGAAGAGUGCGAAAUUUUCAGGUCUACAGAAGCGCCAAAGUCCAAAAUUUUCUUUAUUAAAUCCGACGUGGCACGUUAAAACAAAAUAGUGAUAAAGCUUCUUGGGCUUUAUGUGCUUCGGAUAUAUUGGGCCUAUUUUUAAUCAUAGAAAUCGAGCCUAACUCCAAUUACCACAGUUGUAUUUUUUUCUUGUCAACUCCCCAAUUGUAUAUUUGUAUUUAUUAUCAUCAAAACAAUUAGAAAUUUGAGAUUUUUCUAAAUUUACUUCAAAAAUUUUCAUAAAAAUUCAAAAAUAAAAAAAUAAUAACGUAUUUAAAUAAUAUUAAUUUAUAUAAAAAUAGACAUUUUUAAUACAUACCAAUUGAUUCAAUAUCCAACUUAUGAUUACUACUUUACUAGUAAUUUAAUUUGGUUGAUGGAGGAUAUAUUGGCUAUAACUUAAAAUUAAAAAUUAAAAAAUUAAAAGUAAAUGAGUUGAUAUAUAGAGUUUUUAAAUAUAAACUUGCCAUUUUCCUACAUUAAUAUAUAACUUACUCAUAAAACUCAUUUCUCAUAAUAAUAAAAAUGAAGUGUGUGAAAAGCAACCUUGAAAACUCCACUUUAAAAUUCAAAAAUGACAGCAAAAAAAGAGGUCAAGAAUAAAAAAAAAAAGACAAACCUUCAGAAAAGAAAAGAAUAAAUUCCACCAUGCUAAUCUAAACUUGCCAUUUUCCUACAUUAAUAUAUAACUUACUCAUAAAACUCAUUUCUCAUAAUAAUAAAAAUGAAGUGUGUGAAAAGCAACCUUGAAAACUCCACUUUAAAAUUCAAAAAUGACAGCAAAAAAAGAGGUCAAGAAUAAAAAAAAAAAAGACAAACCUUCAGAAAAGAAAAGAAUAAAUUCCACCAUGCUAAUCUAAACAAAAUCCAAUCAAUAACUAUGAAUCUAAGGACAAUAAUGACUUUAGCCAACUAAAUCCAAAACAGAGGAUCUUUAAUCAAACGCUAGUAGAACUUGGAUGGGUCUCAAAAGAAGGAGGCGUGUGAGAAGAAGGUGAACCAAUAGAGCUAGAGCCAAGAAUCCUGAAUAUUUCAAGAACAAGAAAAGCAAGUAAUGUCACUGACAAAACAAACCCAUAUCCAAUUCUCCAUCCAUCUUCUUCACUAUUAGCCAUUCGUAUCCCAAGAACAAUGUUCACUGCUCCAAAGAACAAAGAGAUCCUCCCAAUCCAAUGAUGAUACCAAUUCCAAUACCGUCUCAUUUUUGUCUCCCUGUGCGGCCUCGCAAAGAAAGCCAAAACCUACCAAAAAUAUCAGAUCCAUGUUCAGCCAAAACUUAUAACCUGUACUUGAUUCUUAAAACUCCAGGUCUUGGAUUCUCAAACCUGAAGAAUGCUGAGGAUUAGAAGAAAGAUCCCAAUGCCUCGAUGUGCAGGUAUAUCUGGCUGGAUGCUAUUGUAAAGCUGGAUUCCAAGAAUAACAGCGGCUAAACCGAAGAUAAAUCCAGUGAACUGAAUACCGAUGUGAAGAUAAUACCAAAGAGGGUCUCUAUGCCUGAGAUAUCUCGCCAGGAUUGCCCCUAGAGGAAGUAAAAAACCCCAUCCCAGUAUUGCUAUAACUCCAUGUCUUGUCUUCUCCGAGGAAGCUGUGGUUUGUAUGGAUGCUGUUACACCAUUUGCUGCAUUGACCAAGAAAGAACACAAAUGAAAAGAAGUAUUACAGUAUCCCCUGUUUUUAGUUUGUAUAGCAUUUUGAUAGUACAAUCUACCAAAAUGAUUUUUAAUAAAUUUUUAUAUGAUUCUGGAUAUGGUUUUAAACUUUUGGAAAAUAAGAUAACUAAGAAAUUUCAUCAAAAUACCUUAAAGCAUCAUUAUCGCUCGUAUGUAGAGCGUAUCUUAAAGGGGGGCCACGAUUUACAUAAAAACCGUACCUUAUGUGUGCAAAAUAAGAGACGUUUGUUGUGGGUUUUUUGCACUGUUCGCGGGUUCUACCGACACGUGGCGGCCCGCGAUUGGUGCGUUUUUUAAUUAAAUUUUUUUUUCCAGACAAAAGCUUAAAAAAAAAAAAAAUUAAAACUAUUUAGUGGGUUUGUGGGACAAAGAUGACGUUAACUUCUCAUAACAAACAUUGCAAAUUGUACUAUUUGAAAUAUAUUUUUUAAGUCAGAUAGUACGUCCAAAUGCAAUAAAUAGUGGAUUUUUAUCUAAUAUAAAUCACUAUAAAUUUCAGAAUACAUCUCUAAUUUAUCAAAAUAUUUUGUAAAUUAGAAAUGCAAACGCAAAACAAGAUUAAAUUAGAAGAUACUGUUACCAUUUUGUCUUGAUAGAAAUACAAAAACAUUAUGUUUUCCUUGAAAUGUGAAAAUCAACAUUUUGAAUGUUAAUGUGUAAUUGCAAACGCAAACGUUUAAAACAAGUAUCAGCAUAGUCAUGUUGGGAUCAAUACCUUUGGAUAAGUCAACGAUGACAGUAGUUUUAUCAUCAUGCUUACUCAAACGUCCAAGCUUGGAAGGAUAAGCUGAGCUGAAAGCUAGAAUCACCGCUCUACGAGGAACUUUAACAGUAAACUUCACCUGAAAAGCUAAGUAAAUCAUUGCUCCGUGAAGAGCCACCACCGGAGGGACUUUCUGUAACUGUAACUCUCCUUGAUCAGGCGCGACUUGGUCUCUCUCUGUUCCUUGGAGAUAGUACUGUUUGAUUUUAGCAUGACCCUUCUUCGAAAUCCACCCCACCAUCGCGCUUGAUCCCACCAUUCUUCCGUCUCUGGAGAAUCCGACUCCGACCCACCCGGUUGUGUAUAGAGCCGAGAGUAUGAUCGUCAUUACAUUUUCUCUGUUUUCUGAGUGCUGCAAAAACAGAGGAAGUGGGAAAAGAGUGUUACUUUUGGUGUGGUGAAUGUGUAAAAGGAACGGUUUUGAAGUUUUACCCUUAAGACGAAUGUGUUCCAGAGAGGUGUACAUGGCAUGGAGUUGGAGAUGUUGCUGUACGGUGGAGGGAGGAAGUCGGAUAAACGGUUUGCGAAACAGAGGUUCUGGGUGACGUCAUCUGCAAGAUCUUGUCCGAGUAAAAGACAGAGGAUGUAGAAUCCGAGAAGGGUUCUCAUGGCGAAGAUCGAAGCUGGAGAGAGAGAGGGACAAUGGAGGGUUUUUUUUUUUUGGUGAAUGUUUCCUUGAAGAAGAGUGAUUGAGUUUGGUGGUGAAAGUGGUUGAAGAUGGCGAGCAAUCAUAAUCACCAAAUUGUGUUUUAAAAUCUCAUCCUGGAUUGGAGUUUGAAAGAGAUGAUGGAGUUGAUGUUUCAGUGGUUAAGUAUCGGACAGUUUAUGUCCCCUUGCCCCUUGGUCACUAAAUAGACACGUGAACCGACAGAGAUAUGCCAAAGAUGCGAUGGGAGAGAGAGUGGGGUCGUAACUGGACCAGAGUGGGGGGAAGUGGAUCAGCCAUAGUUUUAAAUCUGAAUCAUCACUCAUUUUGUCAGGAUGGUGCCACGAUCAACAUCAUCCCUUUUCUUUGCUGGGCCUGAGGUAAAUAUUGGAACAGAGCUUAGAAACAAAGUUAACUCUACAAUGAGCAACGAACAUUUUUUGUUUAGUUUCUAAAAACUUUCAUUAUUUUGGUUCAAACCUUUGCCGCCUCGAUGAUUAUAACCAAUCACACAUAUUUAACUAUUGAUUGUUUACGUUUAUGUGCUCUUUUUUUUUGUUACAAGAUUUGCUUUUGUUAGAAGUUCUAUUAGAAAGAUUUGCAAGUGUGUUGAUGUUCAUGUAUCUUUUGCACUUUUCCAGAUGAACACCAACAAUCUUUUUAGCAUUUUAGUAAAGCUUCAAGUUAAGUUCGAGCUUAUCAUGAGGUGGAAACUGAUGGUUCUUAUAACCAUUAAUCUCGACAAUAUCCUAGUAAAACCGCCAUACCAUCUGGGGAUCGAUGGACCCGAUCGAUUUCGGUUUAGUUGGAUAGAGUAUGUUCGGCACCGCAUUUAACAUGGUAUUAGAACUCAUAUCAUGAACACCUAACUCCUAAUUAUAUGACCUUCUUCACCGGACAUAACUGUCAUAUUUGAUCCUCUCGACCGGUUAGAACUGUCGUUCUAAACUCUUUCGACCGAGUAUAAAUGUUUUAAAGUUUCAAAAUUUCUAGUCGAUAAGAGUUGUCACAUCAAGUAUAGAUAUUUGAGAUAAAAAUAUUCCACAUAAAAAAAAUUAAUUUUUUUUUAAUAAUAUAUUAAAGAUUAUGAUGAAUCCACUUAGGGGGUUAUCGGAACAUGAAUUUCUGUGGAAUUUGAUGAUUUUAAUAGUUGACAGAAUUUUACAAGUUAACUAGAUUUAACAAAUUUUAUCAAAUACUUUUACAUAGAUUUUCAUUACUUGUAUAUAGAAUUCUAUCGAUUGUUAUUAACUUUUAAAUUAAGAAAUUAAUGGUGGUAGAAAAAAAGGAAAGAAAAUCAUUUCAAUUAAGACAAUUCUUAAACAACUUUUAAAAAAGUUUUUGUCACAAAAAAGAUCUCAAGAAAUAAAAUGACUAAAAAAAUUAUUUCUACUUCUUACAUUAUAGAUAUAAAAAUAAUAAUAAAAAAAUUAUAUAAUUUUGAAAUAUAUGUUUUAAAUUUGAAUUUUUGUAAAAAAAAAUUUGAAUUAUUUUUUGUGAAAUGUUUAGUUAAAAAAUACGAAAGUACUUUUUAAAACUAUUUUUACAAUUUUUAUUUUAAAUUUUUAAUAUUUUUUUCUAUUUUUUUAAGUUGUGAAUUGUAACAUGUUAAAAUUGUGAUUUGUAUAUUAUUUCAUUCUUCAAUUUGAGUUUUUAUAUGUGAGUGUAUUAGUGUCAAUUGGUUUCAUUUGUUAAUCAUAGACACGGAAAUUAAACCUUUCGUUUGCAUCUCAUGUUUGCGUUUACAUUCCACAAAUAUAUGUUGUUAGAAAUGUAAAUGUUAUAUUAUAUGUUUAGAAAUUCUUCAUAUAAUAAUAAGACUAGUAAUUAUACGCACAAGAACUAUCAUCGAGGGGAUGUAGCUCAUAUGGUAGAGCGCUCGCUUCGCAUGCGAGAGGCACGGGGUUCGAUUCCCCGCAUCUCCAUUUUUAUGAAAUUUCAUCGUUUUUAGCUAAGGUCUGCUUCGUUUCUUUCCUCCUUUUCUCUCUUUUACAUCUUCUGCAUAUGGACUGAGACAGAGAGGAUAAUAUCGACAUUAUUGUCCGUGAAUCCUAAUUUUUAUUAAUCUGAUAAACCAUCUUCGUGCUCCAAAAAGAAACUUGUCUAUUGUCUUACAAAACUUAUUUCAAAAACAAUGUUAACUCGAACAACGAAUAAAAGAAAUCAAUGAGAAAAGGGAGAUAAAAGAACGUGUCAUAAAGGAACACUCUCUCUACUUGGACCAAGCAACUGCUUCAAUAUCAGUUUGAGCACUUCGAUACAGUUCCAACCUCUUUGCAAUCGAAGUCCUUCUUUGCUGAACCGCAGGAUCCUCAUCCAACAACUUUGACAGUUUACUCAUCUGUCUCAACACCAAACCAGUUCAGAUUCUUACACAUGCAUAGUUACUUAGUUAAGUUUGCUUCAAUAUGGUUAUUUAUUACCUCUUUCUGGCCAAGCUCAGUGAAGAAGAUAUCAAGAAGGCUUCGUUUUGCUUCACGAACUUGACAGUAAACGAUGGAUUUUGGAAUCGAGUUUCUCAAUCCAGCGCAGACCAUGUUCACGUAAGACAGAACAUUGGAACCGAUUCUUCUGAGGUAAGCGUCGUUGUACCUGUCGAAUAUCGAAUGUGUCGGAUUCCCUCCUUUCUCAGAAUCUUGUGGGAGUUUCCUGAAGAACUCUACUGUUAAGUAGCCAGACUCCAUGUCCACUAGUAACAGAGUUGCUUUCCUGCUCUCGUCUCUCAUUCGAUCCAGUGAAUCCACCGCUGCACCUGAUACUUCAACUCUCAGUGUUGGAUAUUGCUUCAGUUCCUGUUUGUGAAAGAGAUUUAACAUAUAAUAUGGAAUCAGUAGCGUUGUUGUUGUUUGUUUGUGAUUGUUGAGUAGAGAUUUUUCUUACAGAUGUUUCGCCGAUGGAUUUGUGGAUAAGAUCCUUGAGAAUGGAAUGAACCGCGUCAACAGCUGCUUCAGCUGGGCCUCUAAUGGAGACUAAGCAUGAUUCUAUGAGACGACGGUAACCUUGUUCAGGAGCUAUGAGAUGCGGUUGAUAUCCAUCUGCUUCGGUAAUCAGUUUACGCACAUUGUCCAUGGAGAGAUGCUUGUCGAACUGCAGUCUUUUAAUGGCAGCUGGGAAUUGAUUGUCGAACACAGAGUUUACCUUUUCACCACCUGAUCGUCUGUGAGGUUGUUAGUAGAGUAAUAAUCAUAAAGCCAUAAAACUGCAAUUACAACAAUCCAGAAAUAUGAUGAGAUCACUCACGUGCCGUCAAGGUGUUCUUUGAAGGUUUGAUCAAAAGCACGGCAAAUCUCCAUGAUCAUAUACAGUUUCCCCUGCACUCAAGAGAGUGAGAAUUAAAAUAAGAGAACCAAAGAAUGAAAAAUGCAAGUUACUUACACCAGCAUCAGCUGCUACAGGUUUGCCAAGACGGCUCAGCUCUGUCUCUAACUCGGAGAUAGUCUUUGUGAUAAGAGACUGAAGUCCUGGAAUUCUCGACUUGAUAACAACUUCCAAAUGCUGAAAAAGUUAUAGCUUAUUUUAGAGAAUCUAGAAAGUCUUUUAUCCAUAGCUUGUUUCAAAGAAGAAUUGGUAUUUUAUACCUUGGAGAGCAUCUUUCCUAGAUACUCUGAACCCAUUCUUUCAGUUAAAUGACUGUACUCUGGGGUGCUCUUGAAAUAAUCACGUUCACGCCGACGAGCAGCAAUCAUAUCAACACUUUUGUUGAUGUCAGCUUGAGACCGGUUCACAACACCGACCCACGGAUACCUUAGUUUGUAUCCCCUUCCUUCAAGUAUCUGAAAUCUCCAAACAUUUAGAAGAGUUAAGGAUUGCUUUGUACUCACUUCGUAUUAGUGACAUUAUCUUCCAAGUUAUCCUAUUUCAUAAUUCGAUUAGAGAUGAGUUAUUUACAGUUAGAAGAUAGUCCUAGCGCAUGAUAUGUAUCCAUGUCAUAUGAAAGUAAACUUACGUCAACCGCAUUAGUGCCCUGGUCCAUGAGAUCAAUUUUUGUUAAAACUCCAAAAGUCCUGUCUCCUGAAAGCAGCAACGAAGCAAACAUUAUACAACAUGAAUUAAUUCAUUCAAACUGUAUGGAACAGUGCUUUUGUUUGUUACAGAUGAUAAAAUUAUCCUCAUCUUAGGAACCACCUAGGGACGACCAUUUAACUCAAGCAUAUACACCAAGGCCCAGCGAAUAGAAACCAUAUAUAACAUGUCGCAAUGGUUUAAAUCAACAAGGGAAAGCAGGGAAAGCUCAGAGUGAAUUCAGAAAUUAGUUGCAUAAAACAUUAGAGAAAGAAGAACCUGGCACCUUUUGGAUCAACUUCACGAGAGAUCUUAAUGGCAUCAGACGUAGCAAGAUCUUGAUUUGCAGGGGAAAUAGCUAGUAUAAUGCAGUUGGGCUGUCAACAAAGAAAUGGUCAAUUUUUGUUACUUUUCGGUGAACACAUAGAUUCCUUAGAUGAUAUAAGCAACAUUGAUAUUUGAUAGUUGAAAUCAUAAGUCACCUUCUCAAUAAAUGAUCUGACCAUGUUCUCGAUAUCUUGAACAAUGCUUUCAGGCUGACCAUCUACAAAAUCAUUAGCACCAAGUUUUCAUUGGUGUUUGUCAAUAAAGAGACUUGGUGUUGGGGGGAUGGAUCCACUAUCAAUGAAUAAACAAAGAUUGUCUCACUUACCAACAGCUACCUUUGUAAGACCAGGAAGAUCAACCAGUGUCAAAUUCACAACUGCAUACAUUUUAAACAAAUAAACUUUUUAGAGUGUGGAGACUAGAAAACAAGUGGCAAAGAUGAAAUAGAACAUGAGCUCAAAUGAAAGAAUAGUACAUCACAAGAUCAAGAAAUCCUCAAGCACGUUUUUAUCUAUUCCUCAUGCGAAUUUAGAAAGUAUAAUGCUUCUAUUACCAUUAGGGGAGAAGAUGCUGAGAUGAAUUGGGACCGUGGAUAUAACUUUGCUGCUGGGACCAGUUUCACGAUCAGUCUCAUCUGAGAUCUCUUUCCUCACAGCAGCUGCAUACCAAUAAAGAAGAAAUAAACAUCUCCAGCACAAGAAAACCAGAUGAGAAGAAUCUGUGCGCCGCCACAAUAGACACAAGAAGAAUAUACCAAAAUCAGUGAACUUUUUCUUGGGAAGAUGCAUAAACUCAGCAUACUCUUUGCCUUCAACAAUUCUGUGAAGCUGCAGGACAAGAGGUCUACGUGUAACAAUCCCUACAUAGAAGAGGACAAUUGUUAAUGCUAAAUCAAGAGUUUAAAGGUUGAGUUAAUAUCAUCAAUCAUGUAUAACGUUUGGAUCAGCCUUACCUGCUCCACGAGGUAAGAAAUCUUUCCCCACAACGCUCUCUAGCACUGAAGACUUUCCAGAACUCUAUGAAUUUGUUUCAAAAAUUCAUCAUUAAUAAUCAAUUGAAUCAGACUCCCUAGAGAAUAUACACUACCAGAUUUGAUUAAUGUCAAACUGAUUUCACAACGUUUCGCUGAGAUCGAGAAGCUAGUCAUCAAACAUAGACUAAGAAUCAUGAUUUCGAGAUCAAACUAACAAUCAGAUCAACGAUCAGAUCUAAUAAUCCUGAAUAAUGUAUCUCAACGUACUAUGCAUGUUUACGGAAUGAGAAGGCAAUGCACAAGAUCUAAAGAUCGCCGAUUCAAAAUAAGAUGUAAAAAUCAGGAAGAAUAGGGCGAACCUGACCACCGACGACGGCAAUGGCAGGCAAGGAGUCCCAGAGAGUCGGGAGGGAGCUUCCCUCGCCGUGAUCUCCUAGAGCCGUACAAGCUCUCUGUAUCUUAUUCACAAGCGAAAUCAAACUCUCCAUCUGAACUACGGCGAUCAGCUCCGAUUACUCUGACCGUCCGGUGCGAUUCGGUCUCCGACGAGUCCGUAACGAGAAAGGAGGAGAGAACGCAAACGUAAUAACCGCGAAUUGGCAGACCGUUGAAUUUUUCUGUAGAAUAUAUAUUACCAGUCCAAUCAUAAAACCUGAAAUACCCAAAAUAUCCCUCUUGAAAAAGUCAAACCCACUCACAAAAUUAAGGAGGCCCAGUAUGGAACAUUAGGCCCAUAGCUAAGUACGAAGCCUGAGAAAAUGACUCAUUUAUACUGGGGGAUCUGAUUAGUGAUUUAACUCUCUUUCGGACCGUAAAGCGUAAAGACAAAACUAGACCUACACGUUUUGGGUAUAUUCCUUUGUGUUCAGGUCACGAUACUCGAGUAGCAUUUCCGUUUAUGGAAUUAUACGAAAACAUUUCCUCUCCACCACACGAUUUCUGUGUUAAUAGAGUAUUUAGGCUCUCUAUACCUACAAAAAUCCAUAAUUAGCUAUCUACCACUUCACUGUUUUUUACACUGCUCACAACUGGAUAAUUCGAUUUUGCCCUCAUCCAAAAUCUCUUUUCUCUCUCUCUCUCUCACGUGUUCUCUGCAACAUUUUAUAUUUCUUUUUUAUCUCUAAAAUAAUUUACUCCAUCUAUUUCUUCAACUAUAACCAAAAUUUCAUAUACCUUCACCAUUCGCUCCUCCCCUCCGUUGUUGACGUUGUCGUCUCCCGUAUCUUAUCCGUGAAAAUCACAAAUGGAAACAACAUAAUCUCGAUUGAGACAUUACAAAUGGAAACAAAAGGAUAAAUUUUUUCACGAAGACGUUCCACCACGGUGAAUCCAUCUUCCGGUAGAUAUGCUCAUUCAGCGCAGCUCGUGGCUCCAAUUAGUGUUUCUCUCUCGAAUAUAUCAUAUACCAUAACCGCUUUGGCGGUUUUCUCGAAGUCGCACAAUAUGAAAGAUUUAAAAUGAUUCCAUGGUAUGUACGAAAGAAAUAUCUUUGAUUCAUGAGUUGGUAAAAGCAUGUGGACUAAUGGAUCCUGAGUGUAGCAAAGAAAUAGUUUAUUUUUUUUUGAGAUCGAUGAUGACGACUUGAAUCUCACAUAUUUCAGUUACAAGUAAUUGCAGCCACUAUGUAACAAGCUGUUAACCGAUAAAUAUUGGAUUAGUUGAUACAAAUUAGGCAUUGUGAGCUGAUACAAGUUUGGUUAUAUGCUAUCAAACUGUAGGUGAUGCUAACUAAUAAAUAAUUGAUAGGAUGUUACAAGUCAUUAGUUGAUACAUGUUUGAUUAGAUGUUACAAAACAUGUUGCCGCUUUAAGAAAUGAUUGGUAAGAUGUUAAAAUAAGUUUUAUCAACCGAAACAUGUUUUCUUAGAUGUUACGAAAUAUAUUAACGAUUAAUAUGAUAAAAUAACUCGCUAACAAAACAUGUAGUAUGUUAAUAUACAUUGAUACAUUCAUUGAGAGCAUACCUUCAGAUUGACAAUUUAUCAACUAACAAUUCAUAUAACAUUUAAGUUAAAGUGUAGUGUUUAACAUUUUUGUUAGCGUACUAGUAAUUUACGCCCCAAAUUCCUCAAUGUAUUGUGUUUUCUCUCUCUGGAACGAAUUGCAUAUUACCAAUUCGCUAAAAUCAAGCAAUCAGUCACAAUCACUAACUCUUCCAUCGAUAUUCAGUUCCGGAAACCUAAUGGAGAAGUUCAUAAAUUAGAGAAAUCUUCUUUUUUGUUAUUUUGGAUCGAUGUUCCAUAACUUUGAGAGAUUUAUGUGAGACACAUAUUUUGAGUCAAUUAUUCAUUGGAAUACAUAACACAUCCAAUAUUAAAUUAUUGUAACAGUGGCGAAGACAAAGCGACGAGAAGGAGCUAUGUGUGACUGCGACGAUAACAAAAUCAGUUGUGGUUUUGGGAGAUGUGGAUUUGAGAAGAAGUUGCACUGUCGAUGAAGAAUAAGAGAAGAGAUUGGUAUUGGUGGAGAUGAGGAAGAUAAAUGAAGAAGAUGGUGAUUAAUGAUUUCUCUUUCUUUCUCUUACGUAGUCACGUGGUCGGUGAAAAGAUAAAAUAGUAAAAUGACGUUAAUUUUGCUACAGAAAAUGCCAGUUUAUAUGUGUUAGGGUACUUUCUUAAUUUUGGCUCAUAUUAGGUAUAUUGAGCUAAUUGACUCUUAAUAUAAUUUGUUAAUUACCAACAAAAUCGAGUUUUAUUUCACACUCUGAUGUGUGAAAGACAUCUUCGAGUACGGACAACGACAAUUGAUAAACACAUGUCAAUCACAGUGAUUCUUAAGUUAACCUUAAUCAUGUACAUAUAAGAAUUUAUAAAUAUCAACUUUGGACAAAUGUUUUUAACAACUAAUCUGGUUUAUCUUGAGUUAACUAGACUGUCUAUACUCGAAAUGAUCAUGUUUCUCCAUUUUUUAAAGGAUAAUUCUCUCAGAUAACUCUUUUUUAAGUUUUUAUUACAAAAAUAGUCCUAAAAAAUGACCAAAAUAACUUCUUUUUAUUUUAAAAAUUUUAAUAUUUUUUUUUAAUUUGAAACCAUAUUCCCAAAACGUCACUCAUUAACUUUAAACCAUAAAUACAUUUUUACUCUUUAAUAAAAUUUAUUUUGGUCAUUUUUUUCAUUGAGAUCUAUUUCUGUGACAAAAACUUUAAAAAGAUUAUCAUAGGAAAUUUCUCUUUUUUAGAAGAUCAAAAUUAUUGACAAUCCUAAUAUUGAUACACAUAUACAACACCAAAGAAGAUAAAGAUAGUAAAAAUCACCAACAUUGGAUAUAUGAAUUUUAGCACAAAAGAAAACCUUGGAUAUAGGGAUCAGCCUGUGAAAAAACCAAGCAGUAUUUUCAUUCUUAUAGCGUAAAAUAAAAGUGUAAAUUUUAUAUACUUGUUUUAAAGUUUGGAAAUUUUUUAUUUGAAAACAUAGAAAUGUCUUUUUAUCAAAACAAACACAGUUUAAAUAUUAAAUAAAUAAAUAUAUUUUAAAAUUAUUAAAUGAAUUAAAUAAUUAGUUAAAGUAUAAAAAUAGAUAAAAAAAUCUAGGUAUUAAAAAAGUUAACAAACUUUAGCUGAAAUAUUUUUGGGCGAGACCAAAAUACUAGUGUUAAAUAUAAUUUGUUAAUUUACCCAAAAUCGAGUUAUAAUUUGUUGGUAAUUACGAGUCGAAGAAUCUCCCAAUCUUUCUUGGCAAAGUCUCCAGACUCUCAACUAAUCUUCUAUCUCUGAAUGUCGCCAGAGAGAGAGUAAGCUUAAAAAUCUUCUCUAAUGGAGUCGCUCACAUCAUCAAACCCUUCCUUCUCUUGUUUCUCAAAAAGCGUAUCUCUUUACCCUUCUUCUCCUCUCUCCUUCGUCAAGCUCCCUUCUUCUAUCCACAACAACAACACCACCAUCCCCUUAUGCUGCAAACCAUCCUCGAACCCUCAACCCGAUCGCGGCAAUGCAAAGCUCAACCCUUUACGCGUAAUCAUCCGAACGUUUAAAGGCUUGGUCUCGUCUCAGUCCCGGCAAUGGACGGCGCGUUUCCGAGCUUACAGGGACGAUACGGCGUCGUUUUCGGAGCACUUAUUCGCCGGAGAAGAUUUGAAGCGGAGGGGUGGGUUAGGGAUCGCCCUCUUGAGCGUCACGGCUUCCGCCAAGGUGAAGAUUAGUCCUUUCGUGGCGACGCUCUCGGCGAAUCCGACGUUUGUGUCGGCGGUGUUCGCGUGGUUCUUCGCGCAGACGAGUAAGAUGGUUAUCAAUUUCUUUAUUGAGAGGAAGUGGGAUUUGAGUUUGCUGUUUGCUUCUGGUGGAAUGCCUUCGUCUCACUCGGCGUUGUGUAUGGCUUUGACGACCUCUGUUGCGCUUUGUCAUGGAGUUGCGGAUUCGUUGUUUCCUGUUUGUUUGGGGUUUAGUUUGAUUGUGAUGUAUGAUGCUAUUGGUGUUAGGCGCCAUGCCGGUAUGCAAGCUGAGGUAAUGAAACCUUAUCUGCUUCUUCUUCGUUAAAAGCAUUUCAGGUUUUGAGGUUUGGAGAUGUUUGACUGAGUUUGAUUGACUUUGGUCUUAGUAAAUGCUUUGUCUACUGUAGAAGUUUGACUACGUUGAGGCACAUGUAUGACUAAGUUUAGUUUUUGAUGGAUUCAACUCAAGGCUCUUUACUUCAUAUGGUUGGAUGUUGACUUUCUGAUAUAGUGUAUUAAGGUUCUUCAAGUGUUUGUGAAUGCCUCAUGUAAAAGUUGGGUUACUUGAGGUUAUUGAAUUGUUGUUCACAAUAAAAGUUCAUCACUUUGAUAUGGAACUAGGCUAAGGUUGAUGUGUCUUCUUGGUUGGUGAGUGACCUUUUGUGUUCUGAAGAAAGAUUCCAGAGCAGAAGGGUUCUGCAUUGUUGAGCUUGAGCACAAUAAUUUUUUUCUAGAAAUUGUGGACAUUUGGCACAUGUUGGUGAUACUUGUUCUUGGUUUUAGAUUCCAGAACAGAAGGGUUUUACAUUGUUGAGCACAAUAAAUUUUUCUAGAAAUUGUGGACAUUAGUGGCAUGUUGAUGAUAGUUCUUGGUUUUAGAAUUCCCACAGAAUGAAGAGUUUUGUAAGAACAUUGUACCAAGUGUCAAUCUUGUUUAUGACUGUUGUCUUUGUUGAUCAUGUCAGGUUCUGAACUUGAUCAUAAGGGACUUGUUCGAAGGACAUCCCAUCAGUCAAAGAAAGCUAAAAGAAUUGCUAGGUCACACUCCUUCACAGGUUCUUGCAGGAGCAUUAGUUGGUAUUGUGAUUGCUUGCUAUUGUUGCCAAGGCCAUCUAGUUUCAGCCUAAGAUCUCCUUAACUCAUAAGUUCUGCAUUAACUUAAAAACUGGGUGCUUCGAGUACGGCUUAGUAUCGAUUUGGCUAAGAUUUGAGGUUGUAUCAUAUGUUGUGUUCAUCAAUAGAGAAAACUGUUGCUUCUUCUUUAUUUUAUUGAGUUUUUGUAAUCUCUAGAAAAUACAAUGAGAGAACAUUUCAUUACAUCAUUUCAAAUAGUUCCUCUCUUCCAUGUUUAUGAUAUGCUUUCUACAAAACAUUAUAUAAAGGAUGAAGAAGAUCGAGACAACCUAGAAAAUAAGGAGUUGCAAGGCCCUUUGGCUGGGCACCUCAGCUACUUUUCUUGUUAGAAUCUUUCAGUGCCCGCUUCACACGUUCUCUUCUUCGGCCGCUAGGUUUGGUCUUGAGGUUAAAGACACCUUUCAUCAACGAGCUUAUAUCCACAGACCGAUCUCCCAUGAUCUUAUCAUGGUACAUCUUGCUUCCUAUCUCACAUAUCUGUUCCUCUACUUCCUCUAAUGGCUCAUCUAUAUUCAACUUCAGUUCUCCUUUCCUUAUAACCGUUACACCAAACCCAUUGGCCUUGGCUUCUCGAAUUGUAUCCUGUUUGUAUAUGUUAAAGAGAGCAACGUUAGAACUGACAAGAGAAAGGACUACUUAAAGUUUUUGUUCUUUACCUUUGGUGGGCGCGGUACAAUGAAAACGUUUCCAGUUCUAAGCAUAUCCAAAUGAGCUUGAAUAAUGUAACAGAGGUUUUUACAGUCAGCAGCGUUCUCGAAAGCAAUCACAUGAUGCGGUUUGGGUUCUAACUCGAGAUCUUUUGCCAUUUCUAAUGUGUAGAACCCAACUUGUUGCUCUCCUUUGUCAUCAACCGUGUACAAUUCAAGACACUGAAGCACACAAGAAGAAAAAAAAAGUUAGGUUUUUAAAGGACUGAGUUUCUUCAAAUGUUUAGCAAGAAAAAAACAUACCAGUACAUGCGGAAGAUCCAACCACCAUAAAUAAUCUUCUUCCUUAUCUUCUCCAUAUUCGCGGUAUUUGCUCAAAACAGCUUGAGGACCAAACAACUCCAUCUCUCUCUUGACCUUGUUGAGUUUCUUUUCCAUGAACUUCUUGUUCCUCUCUGGCAGCUUCUCCAUUAUAUCAGCAACGUCUUUGAUUUCGUCUUCUGUGAUCCAUCGGUCCAAGUCUUUGCCCAUGUCUCUCAUAACAGCUUUCACUUCUGGAUCAGUCUCUGCGUUGUACAGCUCCAAGAACCCCGGUGACCAUUUCUUCGUGUGCUGCCAAAACUCCUUUCCUGACUUUUUCCCAGGUCUAACAGAUCCGUCACUUCCUUCUACAACAAUCUUUGGAUGGCUUGAGGUAACUUCAGACGAAGAAGUGAGAGUAUUCUCAGAGGAAGCAUGAAGAGAGUUCUGUUCUUCCUUUUUCACAGGAGGAGACACAGACGCAGCCUUUCCAGAAAACAAUGCCUCUCGCUGUUCAUUGUAGUUAUUGAGAAACUUAGGGCUCUUCUCAAGCGUAGGAGGAGGCCCUUUCCAUCUCGGUAUGACUUUCUCUGGUGGAUCAUACACACUGAUUCCAUCUGAAUGAUAAGAGGAAGGGAUACAAGUGAGAUAUGUGAAAAGCUUAUAUAUAUAUAAGUGGUUGAGAAGAUAUAGUCAUUACCUACUCCGUAGUCAAGAUUCUCAACGUUUGAAUGAAUCCACUGAUGCAGAUGAGACAGUUUCUCGUUUUCUUUUUCAACUUUCUUCUCCAAGCCUUGCAAAAACAUAGCUUUGUCUUCGGCAUCAAUUAGGUGAAAUGGAUCUCUACCAGCCAGCUCAUUAUCUCGAACAUGGAAGACAAUGUCUCUUAGCUUUUCGUCCUUCAUCCACUCAAGCUCAUCGUUAUCCUCAUUGCGGUAAAUUUCUGCAAUUUCAGCAAUGGUACCUGGCUCCUGAGUUUCUUUCUCUCUUGCAGCCAUGUAGUUAUCUCUGAAACCAGCUCUCAUUUUCUCAGCAAUAGGUUCGAGUUCAUGGUAGUUUUUCUCCAUCCAGUUCUCCUUCAGUGAGGGUUGUUCCUUCUCUAUAUGUUCAGUACCACCCGAAGAGCUUGUUUCACGCUCUCCUAUUUUGUUUGCAAAACUUCCUUGCUUGCCCGGUGCAUCUACUGUAUCAUCAGGUUCUGAAACUUUCUUGUAAUCAUCUUUGCCUAACGGUUCUGAAGACGUAGACUCAACCGUUGAUUUCAAGGUUCCAUUGCCUGCAUUUUUGUCAGCCAAUUUGCGUCUUCUAGCUAGUUUACGCUUUUCAUCACUCUGCUUUGAGGAGAUUUCAUCACUGUCUUGAGCCAUCUUCUGAGUAAACUCCUCCUCACUACUUCUUGUUGAAAGGAACUCUUUAGCCUCUUUCACAGACCGUAUGACCCGUGACUUACGACCAGUGCUAUUAUUCAUCAUACUCAACUUAUCCUUAGAAACAUCAGAAGAUUGAUGGAUGAUUCCCUCUGUAGGAGCUAGUGGUACCUCAUUACUCACCUUUUCUGCGUCAGAUGUUGCCAUUUCAUGAUUUGGAAAACCAGAAUCUACAAUGGCCCCAUUCACCACUGGAAUAGCCAAACCUGAAAGUUCAGUGUUUUCUUGAUCACUUUCAGUCCAAGUCCCCAAGCUUUCAUCUUUAUCAUCAUCAUCAUCAGCAACUUCACGCAUGCGUAUACCUUCAUCAUCCUCCCCCGUUUCUUUGUUCACAUCGCGCUUCUCCUUUUCAUUAAGUUCAAUGCCAGCUUCUAUCUCCCUUGCUCGUCUAGCCAUUGCUUUGAUUUCAUGGAUCUUAUUCUCAAACUCCAUAGAUUCACCACUCUCAACCUGAGGAGAAUCCAAGGCAUUCAAUUUCUUCUCUGAACCUUUUACUUUAGAUAUACUACUCAUAAGCUCCUCACGAUCAAACUUAGGCUUCUCAAACGACACCAAUGGCUUCUCCUGCAAAACUUCCACGGUACCUUUCUCCAUCACUUCCUUCUCCUUCCAAGCUUUCAUCUUUCUCCUCAUCAUCUCCUUCUCCAACUCACUGCACUCAUCAACCUCAUUACUCUUCCUAUACACAAACACCGUCUUCAGCAACCAGAGUCCAAUAUAACCACACAAAACAGCUCUCCCAAUCGCCGGCAACUUAGGAACUAAGUCAAGACGAAGAAUAGCGCUUUGGAUCGAGCUAACGAACUGAACCUCUUCCUUUUCAGAAGAAGAAGAAACAAACUUGACCAAAGAACUAUCCUUACGUAUAACAUCCUCCCCAUUCUCCAUUCGUUCAGCUAAUUCCUUAGCAUACAGAACCUUAUCCCUCACUGAAUCAACAUCCUCAAGAGACGAUCUUCUCCUCAAGACCUCAUCCUCAUCAACAUCUACUCUCUCCACGUUCCCAUUCGAAUCCUGAUAGACUGUGAAAAUGGGAUUCGAACCAAUCCCCCAAAACUCUGCUUCCUUCUUGUACCGAGUAACCCAAUCUUCAAGCUCAUUCAACAAAUUCGAAUCCGGCAAAAUCUUAUCUUUCCUACUUAACUCGACGAGAACAUCAUCACUAGGUUCGAGAUUUUGGGUUUCGUUUCGAGUUUUCGUACCUGUGUCAGAAGGAAUACGGAAAUUCUCAUCGCCGAUGAUCUUCUUCCUCAGCGAGUUGCGUCGUCUCGAGGGCUCUCGGAAACGAGCUGAGACUCGGAGGAUUGAAGCGCGAUGGUAGUGGAAUUUGGAGAUGGGUGAGUUGAAUCGAUGUUGGGUUCUCUUGUUAAUGAGUCUUUUGCUGGAAUUGGAGGAUAAAGAGGAGAAAUUGAAGAAGCCAUUUGGGAGAGCAGAGUUUAGAAGAACCUCCAUUGAUGGGGGGUAAGGGAUAAUCCCUUUGAAAUGAAGAUGGCAAAACCCCCAAAGCUGGGUUUAGCAGAGAACAAAGAACGAAACGGUGUCGUUUUACACAAAAAUCAACUGCCUUCGGAAUAUGGAUAAACUGAAUCCUAGAGCCAAGCCAAACCCAAACCAAAUCCGAAUCGGAAAAUCUGGAUCUUGUCCAAAUUAAAAAAAAUAUAUACUCGAGUGAAGUAUCAUAGGUUUUGAAUAUUAUCUGAAUCCAACUCAAACCGAAACAGAUAUCUUCAAGAUUUUGAAAAGGUUAAAAAGGUAUAAAUAUCUGAAUUAAUCUACAAAAUAAACAUUUGAAAUCUAAAUGAACAUUUCAAAUAAACUGUUAAAAUACAUGACCGAUCCAAAUAUGAGUUACGAUUUUAAAUUAAACCGAAUUAUAAAAUUCGUCUUAACUCAGAAAUAUUAUUAGCCAAAUCCAAACAUCAUUCAUAGAACAGAGUAUAAAAGACUAUAAAGCUGAACCUGAAAAUCACAUGCGAGUAUAAACCAUUAGACUUCUUAAAAUAUGAAAUUACACCAGCUUGUGGGAAGCACUUCAACAUUUACAUUUUACAGAUAUACCAGACUGAGUUGUAUUAAACCAUUUAAACUCUCCAUGACAUGAGAACAAGCCAGAGAAAACAGAGAAGCCACAACCCAAGUCUACAUCAUAGAUCACAGACAAAGCCCCUAAUUACAAACACCUUCAAGAACCAUGGUUACAGAGACAGAGCCACCAAGUAAGAGUUUCAAAAAUCAAUUAUUAAGACAAGUUUGGGAUACAAGCUCCUCCUCCACCUUCACCACUUUGCUGCUGCUCUUUCCAGAUUCUUCCAGUGACUCGCAGUUUCAGCUCUUUCCUGUCUCCACCCGAGAAGAAGAGAGCCAUGUUCCUCUGUAUGAUUAGCCCAUCAUGACUGUCUCUAACUUUCCUGUGACUGUCUCUUACGCUUCUCGGUGUUCCUUCCCAAAUCAGCUUCCGACCAUAACCCCCCACUUCCAAACUGUAAUUGUAGUUCCGAGCUUCUGUCUCGUCCCCCAUGAAACGCAGAAAAGCCAUGUAGACUGGAGCCAUACCGAGCUGGAAUGCCUCAAAGUGGAGACAGAAGUAUUGACCAAAGCAGUGAAAGACCUGAAACAAAAACCAAAAAGACAGAAACUUUGAUAAGCCUAUGGGACGGUUAUAGAUGAUUGUUUAAGUAUGAAUCAUAUGUAGUCUUACGGUUAACAUCCACGUGGCGUUUUCGACUUCACGAGGAUUAGACUUGACAUAACGGUGGUUGAAAGUACAUCCAGAAUGCAUAUCCACCUUGUGGUCAUCCCUCAGAUGAGCAACUAAGAAAGGGAUAUCACCCAUGACAGAACACUCGGAACCAGCGUAGGGACAGUUAUAAGGCCUGAAGUUACACACAGUCUCGUGUUUGAGCUUACUGUAAUAAGGGAAUAUCUCAGGACAGCCAAGCGACAUGUAUUUGCACGGUAGCUCAAGGGACUCGGCUACUUUUUCGAGUGCCAAGCAACGAAUAUCACCGAGCUCUUGUCUACAAGUAGGGCAGCGAUUGUGAACCCUGUUCUUACAAGUUGAACAUAGAGUAUGUCCAUUGUGACACUGCAGAGGAAUAAAUCAAAAAGCUUAUAGCUUUGGCAAAGCCCUGAAACCAAUCAACAGAGCAAAGAUCCAGGAACUGAAAAACAGGGAAAAUUCAGACAAGAAGGGAUUGAAACAGAGUAUCAAACCAUAGUGUAAGUGUUUUGUCCGAAAAAUUCUCUAAAGUGACAAUCAAAAAGCUUGUAGCUUUGGCAAAGCCCUAAAACCAAUCUACAGAGCAAAGAUCCGGAACUGAAAAGCAGGACAAAUUCAGACAACAAGAGAUUGAAACAGAGUAUCAAACCUGUAAGAAUUUUUUAAAACCUUUAAAUGUUUUGUCCGAAUUUUUUCUAAAGAGACAAUCAAAAAGCUUAUAGCUUUGGCAAUGUUUCUCAAGAGAGCACACAAAAAAAAACCCUAAAACCAAUCAAGAAAGCAAAGAUCCGGGCAACAAAGAGAUUGAAACAGACCUGAUGAAUAGGAGGGUACAUAGAAUUGGUGCAGACAGGACAUUCGAGAAGCUCGUGAACACUGGUGGUGGUCGGAAGAAGACCAGAAGCAGCAUUCGCGUUGCUGUUAUUACUGUGAUGCUUCGAAACCGAUGUGUAGGAGUGGCGAUCUUGAUGGAUCUCUUCGUCAUCUGUGACAUCUAUGGUUGAAGCACAGUCCAUGCUAUCCAAAUCCAUCGAAAAGGUGAAAACUUUAUUAAUCUCCGAUCGAGAGGAAGAUCGAAUCCGAUGGAUUGAAACGCCAACGAAGCAGGUCAACCUUCGUGAAGUGUUGAUUUCGAAGAAAGAGAGAUGCUUUUCUUCAUCGAGAGAGAGAGAGAGAGAGAGAGAGAGAGAGAGAGAGAGAGAGAGAGAGAGAGAGAGAGAGAGAGAGAGAGAGAGAGAGAGAGAGAGAGAGAGAGAGAGAGAGAGAGAGAGAGAGAGAGAGAGAGAGAGAGAGAGAGAGAGAGAGAGAGAGAGAGAGAGAGAGAGAGAGAGAGAGAGAGAGAGAGAGAGAGAGAGAGAGAGAGAGAGAGAGAGAGAGAGAGAGAGAGAGAGAGAGAGAGAGAGAGAGAGAGAGAGAGAGAAGGGGAGAGAGUUGCCGUCAAAUGAACAGGCAACGCUGAUUUGAAAUCGGACGGUCAGGAUUAUUCAGGAAGGGCGACUGUGUUGUAUAGAGAAAAUGUUAUUUGGGAAACUUUGAUUUAUACGAGCGGAAAUAAUCAUUCUUACUCGAUGAUUUCUUUUUUGUGUUUUAAUAUUUUGAUCGCGUUUUUUUUUUGAUUAUAAACAAAAUUUGUGAAUCGGUAUUUUAGAAUUGGCGUAUAUUAUUCUGUUACAAAGUUAUUAUAUCGAAGAAGGGCACUCGUUUAAAAUUAUAUAAUUUGUGAAUUUGUUUAUAUAAGAUUUUGUAUGUACACUCUUAUAUAACUCUUUAUAGUCUUAGAUAUUUUACUGGAUCCGAAAAACCAAACCAAAAUCAACCAAAAAAUAUAAUUGUGGUUUGGGUUUGGAUCGAGGGCAAAGUACAUAUUUGUUUUUUUCGUCGACUUGCGGUCCUAUCCGAGACCCGGUUGGGUAUUCAAAGUAUAUAAAAAUGUUUUAUGUAUAUUAGGUAUAUUUGAGUUUUUUCAGAUAUGUAUUUGGUAUUUCGAAUGUGUUUUCAGUAUUAUGAAUAUUUUUUUUAAGUUUCGGAUCCAUAUUUCCAAUUAUAGUUUCGGGUAAAAUUCAAAUUUUAAAAAAUAUUUUGGGUAUGAAGAAAUGUUUUUAGGCAUUUUAGGUUCCACAUAUUUAUAGUAAACUUUGGGUAUUUUUGGGAAUUUAAAUAUUUUUAAGGUAUUUAUUUGUGUUUUCAGAUUUUUUUGGGUUUCAGUAUUUUUUUUUAAUUUUUGGGUACUUCGAAUAUUUUUCGAGUCCUAAAAACCCCAAACCAAUUUGGAACGACAUACCCAAAAUUUAUAGGUAUUUUGUAGUUAUUUGAAUUAUGGACCUUGAUCCCAAUCGACCCGAACCGAACCAUAAAAUUUUAAAUACCUAAAUGUUUAGGAUCCGAAAAACUUACACCGAAAGGAACCGAUCUGUACCCAACCAGAAGAUCCGAUGUCCAUACCAACUCUCUCACAUUAUAUUUUGUGUGCAUUUUAUAAGAGUUACAUUUGUUGAACUUCUGAGACUUAAGAUUUAAUUGGUUGAUUUUGGCUAAUUUAGAGUAUAGAUUUGUAAUUAUUUAAAAUAAUUUUUAAUCUUAUAUUAAAUAAACUAUAAAAAAUAAUUUAAAGUAAAAUAUAUAUUUUAUUUUUUUACAUAUGGUUUGUUAAAAUGUUUGUAUUAAAUUUGAUUUUGUAAAUAUUUGGAACUAUGUAGAUGUUUAGAAAAGAGUGUAAUAAAGUAUAUAAACUAUAUUGUAUGUUUAGAAAAUAGUAUAAUAAAGUAUAAAACUAUAUUGUGUAUAUCAUUAUCGUGUGAUAUGGUCUAAUAAAUAAAAGUUUAUUUGUUGUAUAAUUUUGUCAUGUUCAAUUAUAGCUUUGUCAUGUUUUAAAAGAUGUGGUGUAAUAAAUUAUUGCUAGAGAAAUUUUACCUUACAUAUUAUUAGUCAAAUAUUAUGGUAAGAUCAAAUAAAUUGCUAGUUAACGAAAGGGUCCAACAACUUUUCAUAAGUAUAAUUUUUAAGAUUCCUUAUUAAAAUAGUUUUAAUUAAAAAUUAGUCCAUAAUAAAAGGGCCAUGGUCCAGUGAAGAUGGGGGCCAAACAUGUACAUGGUGGACAUGAUUGCAUAUUAUGAUGAGUUUUUCAGUCUGCAUUCAAUAAGAUUUGUGGUCUUUUAGUUCUCAAUACAAAGCUACUCAAAACCAACGUAAAUAGAUGAUUUGUAGGAACCUCUGAUCCAGUAAGAUAAACAGAAUUGUCGAAUGAUAAUAGAAUCGAUGUAAUAGUUAUAUAAUAAUUUGUAAUAAAAUAAAAAAAUAAUGUUACAAACGUCAAGCAGCCACUAAAUAAACUCCAAAGCAACAUGAUAAAACGUUACUCAUCUUUAUUUUAACUUUAGUAAAAACUUUAAAGAAAUAGAUCAAGUUAAAUAACUUUUAGACGUUAAGAAAAUGAACUCGAGAGACAAGAAUCUAAUGGAAUGUUGCUUGGGUUGAAAGCCACUUAAGAGACUAAUGAUAAUGUAAAAAGAACAUUUUACUCUUCUUCAUCUCAAGCAAACUCCCAUUUUCUUUUAAAGAAUGAACGAAAAUUAUUCCAAUAAAAUAAUUGGUCUCAUGAUGAUAGUGAUCAUCUUUAAAGACACAACACGUAAAGGAGAAAAAGCAAACAACAACGAUCCAGCUUUCAUGAUCUGUCAUUACUUUUUAACAGAACAUGUCGUUGUACUUCAUGUUGGGAUCUUGUCUGAGAAAAGAAAAAGCUCCAGAGAAUAUAAGAUCUGACAUAAGAACUGUUUCUACACAAGUUUUGCCUCAGUAACACAGAGAUCAAUCAUUAUACAAUCUGAUUAUUCAUGCAUAAAAGAAUCAAAUUUAUGGCCUUUCAGGAUCCGAGAAUGACUACUAACCUAGGAAGGUUUUAGUUUAUUUUGUUACCACUGGUUAGCCGAUGUUUCCCGGUACUUCUCAUCAUCAUUGCCCUGAGGCAACUGCUUCGGUUUAGUACCUUUUGCCCGGUUACUUAACAGUCUCUCUGAUAUUCUAUCUUUAGCCGUUGUUGUCUUCUUACGCCGUGCCAAGGAAAAGGUUUGCUUCUUGUUUUUCCUUUCAGCAAAAACUCUAUCAAACUCUUCGUCGAUGACAGCUGAUUUAGAAGUUGAGGCUAGAGCAGCAUCACGCAGAACUGAAAAGUUAUGUUCCUUAACCUUAGCAUGCUUUGCUCGCUUUGCUAUUUUCCUCAACUCUUCUCUGUCUUUCUCCCUGAUAUUCUUUAGAGCUUGUUUCGCUAUUUGCCUAGCUAACUGAUUAGGAUCAGAAUCUGAAGUUGUUUCAUCCAUAGAAACAUCCUCCUGGUUGAUCCCUGGACUCGAAGAGGUUUGGUUUUGACUCUCAUCUAUGAUUAUGGGGUUUCCUUCAUCAUCCCGAGGUACAAUGGGUCCAUGAAACGGGCAGGCUCGUAGGUCUCUUCUCUGACAAAGACCACCUUUCUUCAGAGGAGCAUGGCAUGGAGGUAUCUCUGUUCUCUCUUCUCUAUAGACAGUUGCCUGAAGAUUCAGUGCUGCUAUUUUAUCUGCUGGAAUUACAGCGUCUUGAUCCACCCUGCCCCAGUGGCUCUCUACAUCUAAGCCUCGGUGGUUAGCUCGAACUUCCGUAGUUGAGUCCCAAUUACUCAGCUGUGCUCCCCAACUCAUCACCGGUGCUUCAGAAAUUAGCUUAUCCCUAAGAGGGUCACCACUUCUUCUAACCUUUUUAGUACUCGACGCCUUGUUGGAGAUAGAUUCUAGUGUAGACCUAUUUGCUUCACUUGAUGAUUGUAAGGACGAACCCUCACCGUUUUGAACUCUCGGCAAAGGAGCCACCUUUUUGACUGGAUCAGAUUUAACCUUACCAUCAUCUUCCUCCCAGAUAUCUUCUUCUUCAUCUUCUUCUUUCUCUGGAAUGUCAAUCAUUCUCGAGAUUAUAAAACCAGCUUGCUCACAUUUCUUCUCAGUUGCUAAUAUGCUAUUCCUAAUAUCAAUCAACUCUUUCAACAUGGAAUCUCUGGUCCUGUUAUCACUUACAUCAACCCUAAUGAGAAGUGAGAUCCCAUCUUGAACCGAGACCAAAUGCUUUUUCAUCAGAAGCUUGCCCUGUUCCCUCAAUACAUCGAACACCACUCUGUUUUCACUAGUUUCCUCAACCUUAUCCGACUGCUUCAGCGAAUCCAUACGAAUCUGCCUCAGAUGAGAACACCGAAUCUCCUCGUAAUCUUCCUCAUCUAAAAUCGCAAGUGGAACACCAUCAUCCCCUCUCCACUGAACAAUCUCCAGACCCUCCUUGAUCUCCUUUAUCGUCUCCUCAAUCUCACCCUUCAAGACUCCAAACCCAUCCCUCAAAUACUCAAACUUGCUUCUCAAAAUCUUCUUCCUCCUCUCCUCUCUCUCAAGCCUCUCUCUUUGUCUCCGUGCGGCGGUUGCCUGCAGAUCAGGGAACUUGAGCUUGAGGGUGUUCUUAAGGUAAUCAAAACCAAGCCUAAUCUCCUUGUAGUGUAACCCAAAUGACAAAUUCCACUUCUCCAAGAACUCAAUAGCCUUAGUACGCAAAGUGGUGGCGACAGCUGGUGGCGCAGGAAGAGGCAGGCUGUUUCUAAACCCAACGCUUAAACUCAAGAGCUGAUCAAACUUAUCGACAAUUAGUGUUCUGAAUAGCUUUGAUCUCAUGAAUAGCUCGUCGAUGAUGAGAAGCGUCAAUAAUCGAACCUACCAAAGACAAACUCUUAUCAACAUGAAUGUGAAGAAAAGUUCCAAUCUUUUGAAGCAAUUGGUCAAUUUCAAACAAGCCCAGAAUGUAAGUAAUCAAAACCUGAGAGUGGUUAUGUUUCAUGAGCUCCAUUAGGGUUUUGGCACCGAGUCGGACCUCCGAAUCGGAAUAGCGAAGAGCUGAUUUGAUCGCCUUGAGGAGCCUCGGGUCAACCUCUUGCGCAGACGAUUUGGUAGCUUUAUCUAUCAACCCGAUAACUUUUCCUCCGCCGUCAUCUCUCCCUUCCAUCGCCGGUGAUCGGGAAUUCAGAAAUCUCCUUUCUCUCGUUUCCAAAUUGGGCGGAAGAGAAUUGAAAACCCUAAGAGAUGAAUUUUCUGAUUUGUGUUGGUUUAAUAUAUGUUAACACUGUGCGAGUCGGUUUACUUGGUUAGUAAAUUGACAUAUUUGCCCCUCGUUUCUUAUUUGUUGGUUUACUUGCCCCUCGUUUCUGAUUGUUGGUUUAGUUUAUCUGUUUCUACUGGGAUGGUCGGUUUACUUGGUUCCCCCUCAAUCAUUGAAAUGACGUAGUUGCCCCUGUAUUGAAAAACUCCGUGCAUCAAACUAGUUAUGGGUAUUUAUGUAAUCAGAUAAGAGUAGUUAGUCAGUUACAGAUGUUCCCACCAAAAUCAUCACUCAACCCAGUCGAGAGAAAACGAAAAACAGAGAGACUAUCGUUGACGAUGAUGAUGAUGAUCACGACGCAAAACGCUUUCUGGAUUCUCUUGAUCUUUUCCAUCUCAAUGGCUUCAGCCUCCACGAUUCCAUCUCUAGGAGGUCAAAAAAAUCUAGUGAUUCUGUUAUGAUUUCCCGAGAAAACUGAAUUUAACAAUGUUCAUCCUCUUUCUCACGUUUUCCUUCACUUUCUCGCUUGUUUUCCAGGUCCAGGAAUCGGAACCAACUACGGACGAUACAGCUCAAAUCUCGGAGGUAAUAUUUACAUUCUGUUACGAAUCCCGAUAAAAUUGAUAGAUAGUUCUUCUACUCAACUUUUACGCUUGUUUCUUGAUCGUUUUCCGGGAAAAUCCGAUAGAAAGCUCUUCUCUCCCACUCUUUAAGCGAGUUUCUUGAUAAUUUUCUUCUUUCUCGCUUCUUUAAUCCAGCUCCAGAGAUCGGAAUCAACUACGGCCGUUACGGCUCCAACCUCCCACCACCAGAAGCACUACCAUCACUCGUAACCUCUCUCUCCAUCAAACACGUCAAAACCUUCGACAUGGAUCCAAGAAUCACCACCUCCUUCGCCAACACUGGCAUCUCCCUCUCCCUCUGCAUCCCCAACGACAAGAUCCCGAUCCUCUCCACCAACCUCUCCGAAGCCGACUCGAUCAUCAGAACCUUCAUCUUACCUUACCACAAGACCACCAUCAUCACCUCCAUCUCCGUCGGCAACGAAGUCUCGCUUCUCCCUCAGUUCACCCCACACUUAGUCUCCGCUGUAGUCAACUUUCACCGAGCAAUCAAGCGCUACAGACUGCACAAGAAGAUCAAAGUGACGACCACUCACUCCUUAGCGAUCCUCUCGCGGCGUUUCCCUCCGUCGACGGCUAGGUUCCAUAACUCGAUCGGCGAAUCGGUGUUGAAGCCGCUCGUUAGGUUUCUGCAGAGGACCAAGUCUCCUCUCAUGGUGAAUGUCUACCCUUACUUGGCGUACAAGCAGUCGUUCCCUUCGAUUCCGUUAGAUUUCGCUUUGUUUCAGCCGGUGAACGGAUCUAAGCGGCGGAUGUAUAGAGAUCCGUACAGUGGAGUUGCGUACACUAACCUGUUCGAUAUAAUGAUGGAUUCGGUGGACUCUGCUGUGAAGGCUCUGGGGUUACCGAAGAUUCCGGUGGUUGUGUCGGAGAUCGGUUGGCCGUCGAGUGGUGAUCCCGGCGAAGUGGCGGCGAGUUUGGAGAACGCUAGGGUUUUUAAUCAGCGGUUGGUUGAGCAUUUGAGGAGAGGGGAGAAGAAGGUUACUGUGUAUAUCUUUGCUCUGUUUGAUGAAGAUCAGAAGACUGGUGCCACCGUGGAGAAGCAUUGGGGGUUGCUGUAUGGUAACGGAUCGAGGAAGUAUGAUCUGAAUAUCUCGCCGCCGGUUUGAAGUUUGAGCGUCGCGAAGGAGAAAGAAGAUUGUUUUGUAUAUGGGCCUUUAUUUUUUAUGGGCCGUUGAUCGACAUAUUAGCUAACCGGGUCUUUUGUAAACCAUAAAUAGAUAUAAAAUUUUGGAAAUAAAUAAAUAAAUGGAGUUGUUUGAGUGUUUGGACUUUGGACUCGUUUUUUUUUUUUUUGACCUUUUAUGUCACGUUCAAAUAUGACAUAGAUUCGAUUGUACUUUGAGUCAUUUUCUUUAUAUCUAACAAGACAUUUGUCCCUGGAUAGAUCUGAAAUGCAAAUUGUCAUCUUGUUACGGAAAGUUGUCGUCCAUUAUAUUCAAAAUUAUGUAACAAUUCGAUAUUAAUAAUAUUCAUGAAAAAAAAAUUAGAAGCGCAAGUGCAAGUGAUCGUAUCUCCACUAUAAGUGCAAGUAAAGUGAGAAGAGAUAUUUGCGGAGGAAACAGUGGAAAGGGGUGAGUAGUGGGUAUAUAAUACUGGUGGCUCAUUCGGUGGCUGCAUUAUUCUGACCAUAUAUGGAUCCAUGUGCAGCACUUUGUCUCUGGAUCGUCAUGUAGGAUGUUUUUUUCAAUUUCAUUCCUGAUUAUUAAUCAUUAUAAUUGAUUUCUUCUUUAUGACGAAAUUGUUUUUUUGAAUCAAGAAAUUGUUUUGUUUCGGUUGCCAAAAUAUACAAUGCUUCUAAAUACACAUAAGACCAAGAACUGUCCCAUCUCUACACUCUCUCACUCACAUGGAGAGAAAACAACAAGAGUCUUUGUCCACCCUGUAUUAGCGAUACAUGUCGUUUACGAUGCAUAUCUAUGUAUACAUUCAUAUAAAAAUAUUGAGAUGCACCAGACUCAAACUAUAUAUGUAUUGCAUUUGAGUACCAAACAAAAAGGAUGAAUCACGAAAAAAAUUGAUGAAUAGCUAGUAGUUAUUCAAGUUGUUCAAAAAAAAAAAAAAGCUCGUAGUUAUUCAAAUAGUUCGUCUAGUACUUGGAAAGCAAGAUUGUGAAGAAGAUUCACGUGAACUUAAUUAUUUGUAACAAAACCUAUUAUGAAAUUAGGUAAGUUGGAUGUAUUAAGAAUUCGGGUGAGCUAGUCUAGUGGAUGACAAUUGAGGUAAGCUUCUAAAUUUUGGUGCAUAUAACUUUUAUAAAGACUCUACAUGUUUUUGGAUUAAAUACUAAGUGUGUCAAUUUAUGACCAAGUGCUCUCUAGAGUUAGUUGAAGAAAUUUCAAGAGUUUUAGUUUGUCAAAAGAUGUACUACAACACUUUGAUGGUAAUAAAAGAAAUUUCAAAGCGAACAUUUAGGAUUUACUUCUCUUUGAUAUUUAACGUAAAGCAUACUUUUAAAGUCAAGUCACUGAAUGGUUAAUUUCUCCUCCACUCAGUGUCACAGAUUCAGUUCAAAAAUGAUCCAUGAUGAUAUCAUCAUGAUAUCAUCAUUCAUGAUUGGUUAAUAAGUAAUGAGUGGUAUGAUGAAUAGAUGAUGUCAUGAUGAUGACAAAUAUGGAUAAAUUUCUUAUUUUUAAAUUGUUCUUUGGGAAUAAUAUAUCAGUCAAGUCAGACACAAAAACCUAACAUGCGCCAGACAUAAACCCGACCCGUGACCCGACUAAGUCGUAAGCGACACGGAAACCUUGUUGCUGUAUGUUCCCAAUUAUCGACAAACUCCCCAUUGUGCUGGCGAACGCAAAACAGAACCGUCCUUGAGUGUUCACCGGAAUAAGAUAAUUACUUGCCGGAAGCGAAACAUCUCCUCCGCUGAAAUGAAACACCACCGUCGGAACUUUCACCGUCGUCAUACCAGAAAGAUCGAAACACGUGUCGAACAGAGAAUACGACGGAGCACGUUUCAACCUCGUCGCUCCGAGAAGAAACGCAUCUCUGAACGCCACAUAAGCCGGUCGAGUCAGCCGAGUAACCGAAGUACCGGAAUCUAUAAUCACUCCGCCGUCUCCGGUGGGGUCAAGCUUAAACUGCGACUCCGAAACGCCGCGAACGCGCGAACCACCAACGCUGAUCCCAAGAAGCUGAAGAUAAUAGAACGUGUCGAGCUUCGGAUUCGUCAAUAACGUCGUGAAGACGGAGGUCUCUCGAACGGCGUCGUUUCCGAAGACGAUAGUCGACGGAGGUUUGGAAGCGGAACCGGAACUCGUCCGGUCGACGAAACAGUAAGAGAAUUUAGCGUUAUAACGGUUUUUCGUCUGUGAGGGAAACGAUAACCCUCCGCGGCCCAGGCCCAACAGCCCAGCCGCACCGACGAACAAGCCUUCGUUAUCGUGACCGCAUCCUAAGGCCACGUGAUCCACACGUGCGCCGUGAAACGUCAGCGUCUCGGUGGAGAAAUCUCCCAUGGUAAACGACCCGUCACCGUAGGAGACUUGAUAGAGACAUGUCUUGCUUCCACGGUUGACACACUCCGACGACGACUCGUCUAGUCUCCGACAAAGACUAGAACCACACGGGACAGUUGCAAAAGUCGUUGACUUUGCCGGGUUGAACAUCGGGUCGGACUGAUUGUAACAUACUUUGCAUGGAGAGCAUUGUAGCCAAACGACGUCGCUUCCUGUGUCGAGGACCAUGUAAACGUUAGUCGCCGGAGUUCCAACGCCUAGCCUCAUGAAAUAUUCUCCGCUUCCUUGUGAAAGACCGGAGAUAACAGCGCCGCUAAACCCACCGGGUGAGCGUGGAGUUCUUUUGGUAACAUUCUUGCCGGUAGAGACGGCGGCGAGGGUGGUCAGGGACUUGACGCGCAGAGAGUCUCUUCGAAGACGGAGGUUGAAGAGCUCUAAUGGAGAUGCGUCGGAGAAGGAAGAGAGAGCAUCGACGUGUGAUAGAUGAACGGUGAGUGAAGUUAUGGAGUCGAAUACAGUACUGGUCAAGGAUCCGGGUUCGGGAGAUGAAAAGAUUUGGGAAGAAGGGAGAGUGUUGACGAUGAGUGUGUUGUAUUGGAAGGAAGAAGAGACGGAGGAGAAAGAUGAAAAGAGAACAGCCGCCGUGAAGAUGACGGUUUUUGGAACGUUUUGCCCCAUCGUGAAUAAAAAGAGCAAGGUUAUAAUGCCAAGUGUGACUUCAAACGUAGAAGAUAGAUGCAAAUAUAUAUAUAGGCAAAUGAUACUCCUUUACUUUAAUUAUUGACCCACUUUCUCUUUUUUUAUUCUUUGAUUUUUUUGUGGACCAACUUCUUUCUCUUUUUAACGGUUGAGGUCACAUACACUAACAUGUUCAACAUAAUGUUGGAUCUGGAAGACUCCACCGUGAAAUCUCCCGGAUCACCGAAGAUUCCGGUAAUUGUAUCUGAUAUUGGAUAGAGUCUCCACCGUGAAAGGAGUGAGUAGUGGGUAUGAAGCUGGUGGCUCCUUCAGUGGCUGCAUUAUUCUUACCAUAUGGGUCAAUGUGCCGCACUUUGUCUGUUAUCGCCACCCUACCAUCGACGAUGUUUUUCUUUUCUUUUCUGAUUAUUAAUCAUUUCUUACUUACUAGUUAAUUAUUUUGUUUCAGUUGCCAAAAUAAACAUUGCUUCUUCAUACACACAAUACCAAGUACGUCUAAAGUCUACACUCUCUCUCACUCACAUGGAGAGAAAGCAACAAAACUGUAGGUUCACCAUCUAUUAACUGUUUGAACCGAGAACUGUCAACAAACUAGUGAAUAAACGAGACAAGGACUCGUCGGUGAGGUUAGGAGAAGUCUUCAUGCUGAGCUUGAACUUGAUGAAGACGAGUCGGAGAGAAUAAGAAGAAGGUGUUUAAUGAUCAAGCUGGACCCGGUGAAGGGUUGCCUACGUACCCCGAAAGGGGAUCAAGCCAAUCAUAGUUCUACAACAAAGGAUCACAAAUGCUUAGGUGAAAGCAUGUGGAAAGGUGUUUCUCUCUCUAGAAGUAGAGAGAGAUGGAUGAGAGACCAAAAGAGAGUCCAAGAGAGCCAAGACCCCUUUCAAAGGAGGUUGACUCCUUAUUUAUAGAAAGAAGAGGUCUAGGGUUUCCUAGGGACCCCCUUUCAAAUGGGCUGAGCCCAUUAUCUUAUAGGCCUUGUUGGAGACAAAGUCCAUGUCCAACAGUAAGCCCCCCAGUUCGUUGAGAGAGAUGGAGUUGAUCUCAAUGAAUUUUACGAAGAGGGUUUAUAAGAAAAUGGACUCAGCGCUGAGUCGACACGUCAACUCCGCGAGGAGGGAGAUAUGAGCGACUGCGAGAGAUCGAUCUGCACCGAGUCGAGUGACCGCGAAAGAGAUAUGAGCGACUGCGAGAGAUCAAUCUGCGCCGAAUAACCGCAAGAGUGCGAGUCGACUGUUUUCGAGAUGAUUCAUCGUGAAGCCAUGAUGGAUACAGCAAAUAUGGAUACGCCUCAGCGAGUCCUUGUUGCUGAGUCGACACGUCAACUCCGCGAGGAGAGAGAGAUCUGAGCGACUGCGAGAGAUCGAUAUGCGCUGAGUAACCGCGUGAGAUCGAGUCGAGCGACUGCGAGAGAACGACGCAGACAAUUAUCAUGAAUGGGCCGUCAUGGUUAGGUUGUCAUAGAUGAAGUGUCAUAGACGGACCUUCUUGGGCGAGCUGUCAUCGACAUACUUCUGAUUCCGAUCAGACUUCUUACUCUGGGAUGAUUGCACGAACGAUAUGUGAGGACAGUGUUCUGAACCAUCGGAGCAAGUUGCCAUGGAUGAAGUGUCAAUCGACACACUGCCAAAGACAAGUCAUCGUAGACAUCAUCAUGAACGUACCGCCAUGAGCGAACCAUCACAAUCAAAUCGCCACGGGUGGACGUGUCUUUGCACAAUCAAAUCGUCACGGGUGGAUGUGUCUUCUCACAAUCAAAUCAUCACAGGUGGACGUGUCUUCGCGGUAUCACGUCACGCUCGAGACGUGCGAGCAAUCUGAGUGACUGCGAGAGAGCGAUCCGAGCCGAGUGACUUCAAGAGAGCGCUCUGCGCCAGUGACGACAGAACGGUCGAGUGACGACAAAACGGUUGAGUGACGACUCGUCGGUCGAGUUAGGACUCGUCGGUCGAGUGACGACUCGUCGAGUGAGUGAUGACUCGUCGGUCAAAUGACGAGAGAACGGUCGAGUGAUGACAAACGGUCGAGUGACGACUCGUCGGUCGAGUGACAACUCAUCAAUCGAGUGAAGACUCGUCGGUCGAGUGACGAAUCGUCGGUCGAGUGACGACAAAACGGUGGAGUGACGACUCGUCGGUCGAGUGAGGACUCGUCGGUCGAGUGACGACUCGUCGAUCGAGUGACGACUCGUCGAUCGAGUGACGACUCGUCGAUCGGGUGACGACAGAACGACACGUCAACUCCGCGAGGAGAGAGAGAUCUGAGCGACUGUGAGAGAUCGUUCUGCGCUGAGUAAGGAGAGCGAGCGAGUGACAGCGAGAGAUCGGGCCAAGUGACUGCGCGAGAACGAUCUGCGCCGAGUGACCGUGAGAGAUCGAGUCGAGUGACCGCGAGAGCGCGAGCCAACUGUUUUAGAGACGAUUCAUCGUGAAGCCAUGAUGGAUACGUCAAAUAUGGAUACGCCUCAGCGAGUCCUUGUUGCUGAAUCGAUACGUCAACUCCACGAGGAGAGAGAGAUCUGAGCGACUGCGAGAGAUCGAUCUGCGCCGAGUAAAGAGAACGAGCGAGUGACCGUGAGAGAUCAAGCCAAACGACUGCGCAGAUCGAGUCGAGCGACUGCGAGAGAACGCUCUGCGCCGAGUGACGACCGAACGGUCGAGUGACGACAAAACGGUCGAGUGACGACUCGUCGGUCGAGUGACGACUCGUCGGUCGAGUGACGACUCGUCGAUCGAGUGACGACUCGUCGAUCGGGUGAUGACUUGUCGAUCGAGUGACUACUCGUCUAUCGGGUGACGAAUCCUCGAUCGGGUGACGACAGAACGACACGUCAACUCUGCGAGGAGAGAGAGAUCUGAGCGACUGCGAGAGAUCGUUCUGCGCCGAGUAAGGAGAGCGAGCGAGUGACCGCGAGAGAUCGAGCCAAGUGACUGCGCGAGAACGAUCUGCGCCGAGUGACCGUGAGAGAUCGAGUCGAGUGACCGCGAGAGCACGAGCCAACUGUUUUCGAGACGAUUCAUCGUGAAGCCAUGAUGGAUACGUCAAAUAUGGAUACGCCUCAGUGAGUCCUUGUUGCUGAAUCGACACGUCAACUCCACGAGGAGAGAGAGAUCUGAGCGACUGCGAGAGAUCGAUCUACGCCGAGUAAAGAGAAUGAACGAGUGACCGCCUGAGAUCGAGCCAAGCGACUGCGCAGAUCGAGUCGAGCGACUGUGAGAGAACGCUCUGCGCCGAGUGACGACAGAACGGUCGAGUGACGACAAAACGGUCGAGUGAUGACUCGUCGGUCGAGUUAGGACUCGUCGGUCGAGUGACGACUCGUCGAGUGAGUUUUGAUUCGUUGGUCAAGUGACGAGAGAACGGACUCCAGUUCAAUCUUCCUUGAAGAUACUUCUCCAUGCCCCACGGUGGGCGCCAACUGUUUGAACCGAGAAUUGUCAACAAACUAGUGAAUAAACGAGACGAGGACUCGUCGGUGGGGUUAGGAGAAGUCUUCAUGCUGAGCUUGAACUUGAUGAAGACGAGUCGGAGAGAAUAAGAAAAAGGUGUUUAAUGAUCAAGCUGGACCCGGUGAAGGGUUGCCUACGUACCCCGAAAGGGGAUCAAGCCAAUCGUAGUUCUACAACAAAGGAUCACAAGUGCUUAGGUGAAAGCAUGUGGAAAGGUGUUUCUCUCUCUAGAAGUAGAGAGAGAUGGAUGAGAGAGCAAAAGAGAGUCCAAGAGAGCCAAGACCCCUUUCAAAGGAGGUUGACUCCUUAUUUAUAGAAAGAAGAGGUCUAGGGUUUCCUAGUGACCCCCUUUCAAAUGGGCUGAGCCCAUUAUCUUAUAGGCCUUGUUGGAGACAAAGUCCAUGUCCAACAUUAACGAUACGCCUUGUCGUUUACGAUGCAUGUUUAUAUUUACAUUCAUAUCAAAUGCACUGUACCGGGACUCUAAAAUGUAUUGCAUGUGACUACAAAAAAAGGAAUGAAUUACAGGAAGAAAACACAGAUUAAAUAACUCUUAGUAUUCCGAAUAAGUUGUCUGGUGGUAAAGCACGAUUGUGAAGAAGAUUCAUGGAAUUUAGUUUUGAAAGUAACUUUUUUUUUCUUUUUUUUUUUGUCAACGUAAUAUAUUAAAAUUUAAAAGUUAAGUGGAUACAACUGGAGAUAUGCUCGACGGUAAGACGAUAAAACCGGAGUUAAUCUUAACGGUCAGAUGAACAACAAAGAGUACACUAAAACAUAAGAUAGAAAUGUUGGUGGGAGAGGCUAGCUCAAUGUGAAGAAAUCCUUGGAUGAUCUUCACUUGUAUCCCUGAAACGAAAGCUCCAAAAAGCUUGCCAUAGUCGUAAACGACGUUGAUACACCCAAGCGAAUGGGUUUGUGAGGGGGCUGAACAGCCCAAAGAACAUCUAGAACUAGCUAAAUAGUUCAGUAAACAAACAGCUCUAUCUCCAUCAGUGAUCUCUGAAAAGACUAUGAAAAUCUCAUAUACAUCAGAAAGCAAAUCCAGUGAAACGCCCGGUGAGCCGGAUAGGUCUAACAUCAUCUCCAGUUCCAUAAUUGAAAUUGACACUACAAAGCGUAUGGACACAGGCGGAGGGAAUUGUGGUAGGAGACCACAUGAAAGUACCUUUGGGUUUGGGGAAGGACGAUACACAAGAGGGAGGGGCCGGCUAGGUGAACCGGUGCUAAGCAUAGAUUCAGUGAUUUUAGUUAUGCACACUGCCCAUGUCCACGAGUGAAAGCAAAUGUAUCGUUUGGAAAAAAAGUUGGUAGCUGAACUCCUUGUGGCCAGGCCCAAGCCCAUAAGGCCCACUAAGAUUAGGGUUUUCCUUUGGCAAAUAAUCGCACCCAAUGCGCCGUCGGAGCAGGAGGCGUCGUCGGAGGGAGCUGUCGUCGUGAGUCCGGUGAGUCUAGUCGAGAACGUGCUGAGCACAGAGUACUUGCUGUCCUGUGGGGGUUGAGACGGUGUUAUAGAGGGAGAGUCGGGCUUGAGGAUAAGAACAGGAGAGAAGCACAAACACAAAGCACACGGCGUGGUGGAGGCGGUGGUGAUGGGUCUAUCUCGUCGGCGAAAAAUUCCGGUUGGAGAAGCGCGGCGGCGGGAUACCAGAUUAGGUGAAGUGAGCGAUAGAUCUGAUGGUGGAGGAAGAGACUUGGCUCGUAUCAGGGACGGCGUUGCCAUGGUGACGAAGAGUCGAACAGAUCCGGUGAGCUUACUCACUGACUGAAGAGAUCCGGCUCUUACCCACGCCCUGAGAGGAGAAAUGGCUACACAGAUCCGAGCAGACGAAAUGACGAUGAGACGGCAAACAAGAUGAGUGGUGACGGAGAAAGCACACAGCGAAACGGAAGCGAGGCAGCAGACGAAAACACAUACUAUGAAAAUGCUAGGAGAGACGACAGUAACACGGAGAUGUAACGGAGAGUCCCGACGCCGGCGUGCUCGAGCUCCUUUGGCGCCGGAGAGAAGAGUAGAACGAUGGGCCUCGAUAGUCGAGUUUGGGAGCGUUUUGAUGCUUCUUACCAAUCGUUCAUAUAAAUGUUCAAACUUCUCUAAUUCUCACUUGUUCAAGAUAGACAAUUUCUCUCUACUCACAAAGUAUGAGAUUGAUUGUAUCGAAUCUUCUAGUUUUGAAAGUAACUGAUACUAAAAAACCUAGUGGUCCGUAUAUGAAACUAGCUAGGUAAGUUAGAUGAAUCAUGUAUAUCAGGAGCUCGGGUGAGCUAGUUUAGUGGUUUGACAAUUUGAGGUAAACUUCUAAAGAGUUUAGUAACAGUGUAUACAUGUUUUUGGAUUAGUUUCUCAAUCUAUGACCAAAUGGUUUGAUAAAUGGUGGAACCUCAUUUGUCCUUUUUUUAUUUGUUACUAUUUUAUGGCUAUUUUGAUACGUUUUCUUGAUAACUAAGCACAUGUUUAUCGCCUAUAUAUAUAUUGGCUUUAAGCGCAGCUAAAAUAUCUUUUGAGGAGUAUAAGAACAGCUCCAUAGGACGUUGUAGAGAUAAACUAACAAUACAAAAAAAAUUAAAAGAAAUUAAAGAAAGAGAAAUUACUUAUAAUGACUCUAAUUAUACAUGAUAUUACUACACUAACUCUUAUAACUUUGUAAUUACUAGAAUAACACAACUAUUAAGUAAAAAGACACAAAACUCUAUCUUUAUCUUAGUAUACUAGGGAUUAACCCGGGCUACGCCCGAAAUUUUUAUAUUUUUAUAAUUUAAGUUGUUAAAUUAUUUAUAUUUAGGUUAUGAUAUAUAUUUAUAUAAAUGUUAAGAUGCAUGUCAUAAUUAAAAUUUAUUUUUAAAUUUUAACACGUUAAAUUAACAUAUUUUUUACUAUUUAAAUAUUUUUUUGUAAUUUUUUUGGCUAUCUAGUUAUCAUAUUUAGCAAAACUAUCUGUUGAGUGUUGGAAUAAAUGUUUUAGAUAUUUAAUUAAACUGCAGAGUAUUUUUGGAUCGACCACAUGCUCAACAAUCGAUCGAUCCGUAAAAGAUGAUCGAUCUCCUUGGCCAGGUAAGUACAUUUUUAGCAAAAAUAUCUUUGAUUUUCAAAUAUUAAGUAUAUAACUAUUCUUUUGAAUAUUUUUUUUUGAAUUGUAUUUUUUGAUUAAAUUAUUGUAUUAUAAUGUUUAUGUAAAUAUUUUUUGUGAUGUUUUAUUUGUGCUGUUAGUAUAUUUAACCUAGACGAUAUUGAUGUUUAACAAUUUAUUUUUUCUGAAAAUAGAAAAUAAUGAUAUAUCAAAACGUAUCUAAUACUUGUUAAAUGAUAGUAUAAUGUAAAUUACAUCCAUUAUUUGAAAAUAACCAUUUGUUGUUUUUAUUUUUUAUUUUAAAUCAGAAAUUAUUUUUAUUAAAAAACAUUAUUCAUAUAUAAUAGUUUAAGUUUGGAAGAUUAAUCUAUAUAUAUAUAUAAAUUAUGUAUAUUUUUUAAAAAAUAAUUUAAGAUAUUAUAUAUUGAGUAACUGAAUAAAAGCUGAAUUUCUUAUCUUGAAAAUCAAAUAUUUAUAGUUUUGGCUUCAUGUUAUACUCACCAAUCCAUAAUUGAUAUUUAUAACUCAGAAUGUUUUUAAAAAACUUAGUUUUAAGUAAUAAAUGAAUUUAAUAAAUUAAAUUCAUCACCGCAAUGUUUAAUAGAAGAACUUGGACAAAUAGUCAAAUAGUUAUAUUUAUUUUUUUUUUCUUUUUUUAAUAAAAUGAUAAUGUUACAUUAUGGAGAUAAGCCAUUUUUUUUAGUGAAAAAUGGUAAUCUUACAUAUGUUUAAUGUAGUUUUUCCAUUUUUUUAUGUUGUAUGUUUACAUAUUUUUGUUAUUUUUAAAUGUAAAAUGGUAAUCUUACAUAUGUUUAAUGUAAUAUUUCCAUUUUUUAUGUUGUAUGUUUACAUAUUAUUUAUUAUUUUCUAAAUUAUAUAUAAUGUUUUUUUUUUACAAAAUAGUAAUGUUACAUUAUGGAGAUAAGCCGUCUUUUUUUUAGUGAAAAAUGGUAAUCUUACAUAUGUUUAAUGUAGUUUUUCCAUUUUUUAUGUUGUAUGUUUACAUAUUAUUUUUUAAAAAUAAAAAUGUAAAAUGAUAAUCUUACAUAUGUUUAAUGUAGUAUUUUCAUUUUUUAUGUUGUAUGUUUACAUAUAUUUAUUAUUUUCGAAAUUAUAUAUAAUGUUUUUUGUUUUUUUAUAAAACGGUAAUGUUACAUUAUGAAGAUAAACCGUCUUUUGUUUUUAAGUGAAAAAUAGUAAUUUUACAUAUGUUUAAUGUAGUUUUUCCACUUUUUAUGCUGUAUGUUUACAUAUUAUUUAUAAUUUUCGAAAAUUAGUAAUAUUAAAAUGUAAAACUAUAUUUUAUGCCACGUGUCAUCUUUCGGGAGAAGUUUUUUUGCUGAUGUGGACGUUCUAUGGAGCCUCAAAAGAUCUCUUUUAUUAGUGAAAAAGUUGUCAAUGAUUGUGUCCAACUUGGACACUCGAUAAAGACCUCUCCUACUGGUUUGGUGAUGUUGUGGCUGUUUCAGCACAAGUAAGUAACAUCACCUCUUUUGCUUUAUCAUUAUUUAUGUUUUUGGUGAUGAUAUUUGAAACGUUUGAUGAUGUUGUUGUGGCUGUUUCAGCACGGAUAGAUAUGUAUUUGCAAUGUGACUCUUCUCUUUUCAUUUCUUAAUUGUAUUUUACCUUUUUUUUCUUACACUAUAAAUUUACUUAUUCUAAUUUUCUUGUUUUUAUAUCAAAUGAUAAUAUUAUGAUAGAUCUUUAAUGUGAUAAAAAUAUUAUCUUAUAUUAUAUGCUUAUUUUUCUUAUAUUGUAUAUUUACUUACAAAAAUAUUUGAAAAUAAUAAAAUGUUAAACUAUACAUUUUCAGAUAGACUUUUAAUGUAGUUUUUUAUUUCUUAUAUUGUAUGUUUAUUUAUCUACUUGUUUUGUUUUAUAUCAAAUCAUAAUAUUACGAUAGAUGUUUAAUGUAAUAUUUAUAUUUCUUAUAUUAUAUAUUUACUUAUUAUUUACAUUAUUAUAUAUUUUCAGAUAAAGGUUUAAUGUAUUUUUGUAUUUUUAUAUUGUAUAUUUACUUAUAAUUUUUUUUUUUUAUAUUUACUUUUUCUAAUAUUAUAAUUGAUGUUUAGUGUAAUAUUUUUAUAAUGUAAAUUUACUUUUAUUUAUUUAACUUUACAUUUUUCAGAUAUAUGUUUAAUUUAGUUUUUCUAUUUUUUAUAUUGUGUAUUUACUUAAUGUUUAUCUUUUCUUAUUUUUAUUUUUAUAUCAAUGAUAAUAUUAUGAUAUAUAUUUAAUGUAAUAUUUUUAUUUCUUAUAUACUAUAUUUACUUAUUAUUUAUUUUUCUUAUCUUUUAUAUUUACGUUUAUUAGGUCCCUUUUACAUAGAUGUUAAUUUAGUUUUUCUAUUUCCUAUAUUUUAUAUUUACUUAUUUUUCGCUGGUAUGGACGCUCUAUAGAGCCUCAAAAGGUCCAUUUUAUUAGUAUAGAUUAAUAAUAAUUUUUGAAAAUUAGUAAUACUAAAUUGUAAAACUAUAUUUUAUGCUACGUAUCAUCUUUCGGUAGAAGUUUUUUUUGCUGAUGUGGACGCUCUAUGGAUCUUCGAAAAAUCCCUUUUAUUAGUAUUAGUGUAGGAGUUAACCCGCGCUACGCGCGGAGCUAUUUUGAUUUUCAAAUGUUAACUAUAUAGUUUUUUUUACAUUGUAUUCUGAACAACAAUAAAAUUCUGAAUUAUAUGUUUGUGUGAAUGUAUAUUUCUUUGAAAAAAAACAGAAAACUAUACAUUUUUCAGAUAGAUGUUUAAUAUAGUUUUUCAUUUCUUAUAUUGUAUAUUUACUUAUUAUUUAGUUUUUCUUAUACUAUAGGGUAACUCUCUCAAAUAUAUUUUUUAAAGUUUUUAUCACAAAAAUAACCUUAAAUAAGUAAAAUGACCAAAAUAGCCACUUUUUAUUCUGAAAAUUUUAGUUUUAAUUUUUUUUUUAAUUUGAAAUAAUAUCCUCAAAACCCCACCCUUAACUCUAAACCCUAAAUUUAGAUUAGUUAAUCCUACGGUAUAAAUGUAUUUUUACUCUUUAAUAAAACUUCUUUUGGUCAUUUUUCUCAUUAAGACUAUUUUGUGACAAAAAGUUAAACUGACCAUCUUAAGGAAUUUCUCUAUAUUGUAUAUUUAUUUAUUCUAAUUUUCUUGAUUUUAUAUCAAAUGGUAAAAUUACAAUAGAUAUUUAAUGUAAUAUUUCUAUGUCUUAUAUUGUAUAUUUGCUUAUUAUUUAUUUAACUAUACAUUUUCCAUUUAACUAUACAUUUUUGAGAUAGAUGUAUANNNNNNNNNNNNNNNNNNNNNNNNNNNNNNNNNNNNNNNNNNNNNNNNNNNNNNNNNNNNNNNNNNNNNNNNNNNNNNNNNNNNNNNNNNNNNNNNNNNNNNNNNNNNNNNNNNNNNNNNNNNNNNNNNNNNNNNNNNNNNNNNNNNNNNNNNNNNNNNNNNNNNNNNNNNNNNNNNNNNNNNNNNNNNNNNNNNNNNNNNNNNNNNNNNNNNNNNNNNNNNNNNNNNNNNNNNNNNNNNNNNNNNNNNNNNNNNNNNNNNNNNNNNNNNNNNNNNNNNNNNNNNNNNNNNNNNNNNNNNNNNNNNNNNNNNNNNNNNNNNNNNNNNNNNNNNNNNNNNNNNNNNNNNNNNNNNNNNNNNNNNNNNNNNNNNNNNNNNNNNNNNNNNNNNNNNNNNNNNNNNNNNNNNNNNUAUUUGUUUUGCUUUUAUAUCAAAUGAUAAUAUUAUGAUAGAUGCUUAAUGUAAUAUUUUUAUUUCUUAUACUUAAUUAUUGUUGUAAAAAAAUACUUAAUUAUUAUUUAUUUUACUAUACAUUUUUCAGAUUGAUGUUUAAUUUAGUUUUUUCAGUUAUAAUAUUGUAUAUUCACUUAUUGUGUAUUUUUUCUUAUACUAUUUUAUAAUAUAUUUUUCAGAUAGACGUUUAAUGUAUUUUUUAUAUUGUAUAUUUACUUAUUAUUUUUUAUGUUUUAUAUUUACUUAUUGUAAUAUUAUAAUAAAUGUUUAGUGUAAUAUUUUUAUAUUGUAUAUUCACUUAUUAUUUACUUAACUCUACAUUUUCAGAUAUAUGUUUAAUUUACUUUUUCCAUUUUAUAUAUUGUAUAUUGACAAACUCAACAAAGCUCUAUACGAGUUGAAGCAAGCACCUCGAGCAUGGUAUGAAAAGCAGACAGAGGCUACAUCAGAGGAAGUGUCGUCGAGAAAACACUGUUUGUGCUGAAGAAUAAAACAGGGAUGCUGGUGGUUCAGAUCUAUGUUGACGACAUCAUUUUUGGAGGAACAUCUAAACAACUUGUAGAUGGUUUCACUCGAGAUAUGACCAAAGAGUUUGAAAUGAGCAUGGUGGGGGAGUUGAAAUAUUUCCUCGGAUUACAAAUACAACAGAUAGAGGAAGGUGUUUUCAUCUCGCAAAGUACCUAUGCAAAGACACUACUGAAAAGGUUUCAACUGGAUCACUGCAAGGAGGCAAAAACUCCGAUGAGCUCUACCAACAAAAGUUGCAAAGAUGAGGAGGGUGAACCAGUGGACACGAAGCUGUACAGAGGAAUGAUCGGGAGCUUACUAUACCUUACGGCUAGUCGACCAGAUCUAAAUCUGAGCGUGGGGAUAUGUGCUAGGUAUCAAGCAACACCAAAGAAGUCUCAUCUGGAGGCAAAUAAGAGAAUCAUUCGAUAUGUCAAUGGCACGAAUAACCUUGGGAUAUACUACUCAAAGGGAUCGAAUGGAAAUCUUGAUGGAUACUGCGAUGCAGACUGGGCUGUAAGUGUAAACAACCGGAAGAGUACCAGUGGGGGAUGUUUCUUUCUCGAAAACAACCUGAUUGCAUGGUUGAGCAAGAAGCAGAACUCUGUAUCAUUGUCUACCGCAGAAGCAUAAUAUAUUGCUAUGGGGAGUUGCUGCACACAACUGAUGUGGAUGAAGCAAAUGUCUGCUGACUAUGGCAUGGAUACUGGAUCAUUUUUGGUCUACUGUGACAGCAAGAGUGCAAUCGACAUAUCAAAGAACCCGUUGCAACACUCAAGGACCAAGCACAUUGACAUUUGACAUCACAUCAUCAGGGAACUAGUCGAUGAACAACAGGUAGUGAUUGAACACGUUGUCACAGAAUUAUAACUAGCUGUCUUUUCACUAAACCUUUAGAUCUUGACCAUUUUGUUACUCUUCGAAACUCCAUUGGGGUUUGUGAGAUGUAACAAGUUUGUGUAAGUGUACAGGGGAUGACGGAAGGGCUGAUGCAGAGGCACCCAAAGUUCAGAUUUUGUCUUACAUCAUAAGCGAGUAGUGGAAAAGAGCUGCCAAAUAUGCCGUCAUGAUCUCAAAAAGUACAGGUUUCGCAUCGAGAGAGCAAUCAAGCAACAAGGGGAAGAAUAUGUUCUGUGUUUCUCAUCAUUAAAAAGAGAGCACAAGAAAACUCUUAGAAAAGAAACAAGAAAAAGAAAAGAAAAAGAAAGGAAAAAGAAAAAUAAGAAAAGAAGUAACAAACCCCAGCUCUCUCAUGACGAAUAAAGGUUGAAAACUGAGUCAGGACAUGAUAAAGGCAUAUUUGUGUGAAUGCUAGACAUGAAAUAAGCCUGAUGAUCAGAUGACGAUCUAGUAGAGCAGAAGGGUGCAUCUGUAGCAGAAGCUAUGUCAGCCCCUAGAUCACUCGACGAACAGUUGUCAACGUGAAAGGUAAAACAAAGAAUCCUUUUGUGCUUAAAAAAAUAGAAAAUUAACAUGUGUGACACGUGUUCUCUCAUUGCUUGCAUGUUUAAUGUACUAAGUGUUCUUUUGUCUAAGUGGUUGUGUCAGCAAAAGUCAUUGAGCUAAAUGUUACCAGUCUAUGUUAUCGAGUGUCACAGUGGAACAGUGAAGAUUCGGUCCGAUCAAGUCUUGAGUGGACAAUACGUGUCGACAUCAGAGAAAAGGAAAGAGAGAUCGUGUGAGCCUAAAUGGAAGAGUUCAAAUUUUUGAAAUUUGAAAAACUUCCAUUUUGGAGAAAGUGGGAGAUAUGGCGAAUAUCUAAGAGAUCAUGGGGCAAUGCACCAAAAAUAAAAUGAUUACCCCUUGAUAAACCUUAGACGCCAACUUAUCUUUUUCACAACUCUCUUUGCUCAAAACUUUCAAAAGAAAGAAAAACUCUCUCUCUCUCUCUCUCUCUCUCUCUCUCUCUCCCUCUCUCAAGAAAUCAUGUCGAUGAACAAAAGCACCUCCGCCACCGGUAAACCUUCAAAACCACCGCUGUUGAGUCUCGUGGAUUACUCCGAUGAUGAAGAGAAAACGUCUCCACAGGGAAGUCAAACAUCCCAGUCCAGAUCGGAUGUGUUCGGCACUGCGGCUGAGAAUCUCAACACUGAAUCAGACACUGAAUCGGAUCCAGCAGAGCCUCACAUCGAGGAUGAACAGAUGACAGAGAAAUCAGACCAUGCAGAGCCAAUCAUCGAAUCAACUCAGGUCAAGAUGACUGCUGGGAACGAAUCCGAAGAAGGAGAUGAAUCAGAGAAGACCGAAUCAGAAGGUGUUGAAGAAGUUGAUGUUGAGGAUGUGGAGCUACUGAUCAACAUCAAAAAAAAGGCCAAAAGCAAGAAAAGGAAGACAUCAAGAAAGUCUACCCCAUCAGUCACGGAAACUCAGACAUCUACGCAACCAACUGUGGCAGAAGGAUCCUCAACAAGGGCAACAAGGAAAUCAGUGAAUGCAGAGCUUGUGGUUGAGCAUAGGUAUGAAAGUUUCUCAUCUAGAGAAAUCAUACCAGAGAAAUCUGUUGAUUUGGACGCUGAAGACACCUGGGGAUUUCUUGAUAUCAUCAAGAAAGGUCACCUAGAGAGAACUAUCAAAGAUCUUGUUGGGUACAUUCCAGAAAUUGUGAAGGAGUUCUACGCUGCACUGCCUGGAGAAAUCACCAGAGCAUCCAAGGAUAGGGUGGGAGUGACCGUUCAAGGCCACAAGUUUGAAUUCUCUCCAACCAAGAUCAAUGAGUACUUAAAUCUCGUGCCGUUAUCAGAAGAAGAAGUGAAAGCUGAUGAGAUGGCUGAUGCACUCACAAUUGAUGAGUUGGCAGAAUUUCUGACAUAAGGCACAUUGAGUCUCAGGAAUCUCACAACAUGAUACUUGUCUCCGUGAAAGGCUGCACUUGUGAUCCUCUCAGCAUACAAUUGGGUGACAUCCUCUCACAAGAAUGUUGUAUCAGCUGAUCGUGCUCGACUCAUCUACAAGAUGUUUCACGGAAUAAGAGUUGAUGUUGAAGAGAUGUUUUAUGCCCAGAUUCUGAACCUAGCAGUACUUCAGAAAGAGGGAGGUAAGAAAGAUAAGCGCUGGCUAAUUCUUCUUCGCACAAUAUUUGGAGUGCUUCAAACUCAAUUCGAGAGAUGCAGAGAAAGCCAAGGGAGAAACUUUCUCCUGUAAUUCCAUACAAGAAAGAUUCUCGUCUGGGGGAGAUUUAUCUCAAGAACCAAAAGGAAGAACGAGAAGCUGCAAAGAAAACUCAGAGGCAGGCUAAGAAGAAAGGAAAAUUUGCAUCAACAUCAACUGCAGCACCUCUCUCUGGAUCACCUCCAAGCAUUCCUCACCCCGAAAGGACUGAUCCAUCUGGAUAUGUGCCACCAAGACAGUCUCCACGGUCUGCUGGAAAGUUCCAGAUCAUUCACCUCGGAUCUAUUGCAGGUACAGGACAACCAAUAGAUGCUGAAGAGGCAAAGCUGGCUCUAGAAACGACCUCUGCAGCAAUUCGACAGCUUGCAACUGCGAUGCAGACUCCGACAAGCGUCGUGAGACAAAUUGCAAGCAUGUUAUUUCCAAGUAAGUCUUCUAUCUGGUUCUUUAUUUGCUAUGAUCUUUAUGAGUUUUAACUCUGUAUGCUCUCAAGCAGGAGAAGAAGAAGAGGCAGACGAUCCGCAGCAGCAAGAUGACUAGGGGAACUAGAUUAUGGGGGAGAAAAUUUUAGUUUUCUCGGUUUUUUAAUUAUGGGGGAGUGAGAGAUAAAACAAUGUUGCUGGUUUUUGUUGUUUUGGUUUUAUGUUUAUCUCUAACUCUUGAACUCGCAUGUUUUGAACCUUCAUUUCAAUUUUAAUGCACGUAUUAUUCAGGAUAUAUAUGCUCGAAUGUGUGUGGUUGGUUGAGCGGAUCUGUGCAGGUACUUGAGAGGCAUCCAAAGCUAAAAGGGGGGAGAUUGUAGAUGCAAAGAUCAGAUGGACGUUCUGAUACAGACGCAAGUACAACAGCGAAUGGAGCAGAGUCUGCAAUAGAGAAGUGUACGUGCGGAUGAACAAGUCAAGAUGAAGAUUGCGACUUGAAGAAUGGAUUGCGGACCAAGGCGAAGUUAAUACGAAGACAUCUUGGGGAGCAAGCUUGAAGAGAUUCACGUUGGAGAAGGGAGAUCUCACGAUGGGAAGUUUCUAAAAGACUUUGGAGAAGUUUUAGGGAACUUGUCUUAUUUGGGUAGUUAGUGAAUAUUGGGUAGAUAGGCGUGGAUAUCCUACUUGGAUGUAUUGUAUUUAUAGUCAUACUCAACCUGUGGAUUAGGGUUGUCGAGAUAAUUGUAUUCUUAGCAUAAGAGUGGAGUUUGCUAAGCUUGUAAGCGAGUGAAUAACACUAAGGGCUGAGGGGUAGAGGUUCUAGAGAUCUUGUAUUCGAUCUUAGGACGUGUGAAGCUAGGGGAACAAGUCAAGAAGGGUCUUGAUCUUGUUCGAGUUCUGUUUAAAAAAAGAUUUGUAACUUCUCUUUAAAACAAUACUAGUAAUAACACAUAUAUUUGUAGAGAUAUUCUCUGGUGUAUUAUGUGCUUUACUCUAUGAAUUAGUUCUUGCAUUUACGCAAUGUUUUCUAUUAAGCAAUGUAACCAAAUUGUUGCUUAUCUUCUUCUUCGAUUAUUUUUUCAAAGAAAUUUGUUAUGUCUAUAAGGAAACGACUAUAUGGUGAUGUCCAAUAGUAAUUAACUGGUAUGAUUUAAUUAAUUCAGCAUACUAUGAAAAUCUUUGAUUUUAAUCAUUUUAGUAAACGAAAUUGCACGAUGGAUAGUUUUUCUUAUUUGAGAAAGGAAAAUGCAGCUCUUGCACGAUGGAUAGUUGCGUUUUGUUAACACGUGAUUUAAUAUUUUAGAAUGUAUCAUUAACGCAAAAGCUACAUGUAUAACAUUAUAACUCGUGCAGUAUUAUUUGUUUGAAAAGUUUCUUUGCUCUCGAUUUUUGGUUUAUGCUUCUUACAAACUUUUAUUUUAAUUAUCAGAUUAACGUCACAUUUGUUAUAGCUUUACCCAUUUAACAAUAUUUUCUUAGUUUAUGUAUUAUGUAAUAUGGCCAUGUAGUGUAAUGCAUAAUGGUCCUUUUACGAAAAGCAAAUCACAACUGAAAUAAAGGGUGAAUUUUUCAUAUGUCCCCUUUUACUUUCUAUUUUUAAAUUUAUGUCCCUUUCUUCCUCGAAACAACAUAAAAUAUAAAAUAAAAUAUUACGUUCGAAAAAUAAUCCACACUACCUAAAUAUAUAUUUUCAACAUAUAUAUAGUACUUUAUAUAAAAGCUUAAUGAGAAAACAUAUAUUCUACGGACCAUUUUAAGUCAGAUAUUUAUUAUAAAUUAAUCAUGUAAUUAAAAUUCCAAGUUCGCCACCGAAUUUCGUAACCUAAUCUACACAUAAUUAAUAGAUGAAAGUAUUGUAUAUAUAUUUUAACGUCAAUUAUGAUAUCUAAUAUGUAGCGAUGAUAACUUUUACCGUGUUAGGAUUUUUGAUAUUGACGGAUCGUAGGCUAAAAAAAUACUCCUAUAAAAUCCCAAAAUGGAUGGGCGGGAAUAGUAUACAACUCAUAAUUCCACUGAGGCUUUGUAUUAUUACGACACGGAACUAGAGUAAUCAGCAUGAAUAAAAACUAUAAAGAUAUAUUCCCUCCAUUUAAAAUUGCAUGAUCCAUGUUUUAGAGCAAUAAUUAGUCUAAGCUUAUAGUCUAAAAAUAUACAUUUUUAUAUUUUUAAUGUAUUUAUUAAAUAAUAAUGAUAAAUUGUAAUUUUUAUAAAAAAAUAAUUGUGUUUAUUGAAUAUUGAUUGGUUAAAUGUUAUAAAAAUAAUUAAUCACAGAAAAUAAUACAUUUAUAAUUAAAAUUUAAGAUGCUUUAUUAGUAUGAGUAAAAAGUUUGGGGAUAUGGUUAUUGUCAGUUGGAAAUAAUUUUUUUUCUAUUUUUAAUGAAUUUUUAUUAAAUAAUAAUGAUAAAUUAUAAAAUUCAAAAAAUUAAUUUUAGAAUUUUGAUUGAUUAAAAGCUACGAGAAAUAGCUAAUCGUAAAAAAUAAUAUAUAUUGUAUAUAACUAAAUUUGUUUUUUUUUAUAAAUAUAAGUGAAAUUCAGACAACAACAUUCAAAUAGAGGUUCGGGGACAUAGCCCCAUAAAAAUGUAUCCAAAGAUAAUGCUCAAUGUAUUUACUUGAUUUUUGAACUCCAUACUAGAAUAAGUUUUUAGCAGUUUUUGACUCCAAAAAUACAUAAAAAGGGACCAGAAAAGAACUAGAGACGGAGAGGCCGGCCAUGAGACAUUAUUAUUAUCACUAGUCAAAAACAACAAACCCUCCUUUUGCUUUUUGAUAUUAAAUUUAAAUUUUGCAGGUUUUUCUCUUCUUCUUCUUCUUCCUCUUUUCUGCUUUCUUCAUCAUCCAUAAAGUGAAAGGUAACGCAUACAGCCAUAUCGUCCCCCAAAAGAAGCAAACGUCCAAGAAAAAAACUAUCUCCAGAACAUUCUCUCUUUGCUCUUUACUCUCUUUCUCUGCCUUUCUCUUUGUUCAUGGAUGCUACGAAGUGGACUGAGGUACGUCACUCUCUCUUUACCAUAUCUGUUUGUUUCUUCUUCUCUAACUAUUUCCUUCUCUCUAUAUAUAUCUAAACUCACAUAGUCAGAUACAUAUAUAUAUAUUUUUUAUUUUUUUUUAGGGGGGAGGGGUACAUAUAUAAUACUUGUACAUGUAUGUUUUUUUUUUUUUUGAGAAAGGGCUUAUUGUACAUGUAUGUUUGCAUGGAACAAAACUACUUGCGAUGCAUCUUUGGUUGUAUAUAAAAUAUAUGUCAAACCCCAUAGAGAGAGAUAUGUAUGAAUAUAUGGUUUUCUUAUCUGGAUAUGCAUAUGAAUAUUUGCAUGGGAGAUUAUCCGUUUCAAAACUUCCAAAUUUCUCGAUUGGAGUUUUUUUUUUUUUUGAAAAGUUUUCUCUCUACAAGAUCACCUUUUUAUGUGUGAUUAAUUAUAGCUGAUAAUUGAAGGAUAAAAGGCAUGAUUUGUUAUCUACCUUUUGUUCUUGGUGCGCACGUCUAAACAAAUUGUUUUUACUUGUGAUUUAGUUUCCUUUCUCGAAUCAAUUCUUUUAAAGCACCGAUGAAUUUAACUACAAAAACCCUAGCUUUUUUCUCAGUUGAGUUUAAUUAUUGUUACUUAUAUUUCUUUUAAUUCACCUCAUCAAACCCUAAUCUUUGCGAGCUUCAAGACUCGUUUUGCAAUUAUUAUUUUUCUAUUUGACAUGGUUUGUGAUUCAUUCAUUAUAUCUUAAUUAUUAUAGGGUUUUCAAGAAAUGAUAAACGUAAAAUUAAACCAAUGGAUCAAAUGAUUCCGAACACCAACAACAACACAUCGCAACAACAACAAACAUUCGUCUCCACCACAACAAGGCUAAAUACCACCACAUCCAACGGUGGCCCCGGUGAAAACAACAACAAUACGACUACUACGAUGGAAAGUAGAAAGGCGAGGCCUCAAGAGAAAGUAAACUGUCCAAUAUGUAACUCAACGAAUAUGAAGUUCUGUUAUUACAACAACUACAGUCUUACACAACCAAGAUACUUCUGCAAAGGCUGUCGAAGGUAUUGGACCCAAGGUGGCAUUCUUCGUAACGUCCCUGUGGGAGGCAGCUCACACUACAAGAAAACGUCUCAUAUAUAGCAUGAGGAAAACGCUAUUGAAAGAUAGCACAGCGUUAUGGCGAACGAUGUAUCUUCCCCGUAAUCUUUUCUCGGACACUUUAGAUAGCACCUUUUUGUGUGCUAUUUUAAUGUAUUAUUUCAAUAGCGUUUAUUAGUUAUGCAAAUGUAAUACUUAUGAUAACAUAGAAUAAAUGCUGUUAUAGCUUUAAUAAAAAUUAAAAAAAAAAUACAAUUAAAAAUAUUUAAAAAAUUUGUAUAUUAAAAUUGGUUAUAUGACUAGUAUAUUAAACUAAAAUCAAACUAAACCAAAUUUUUGAAAAAGUUAAAGCUACAACUAAAACUUCUGAACCUAAAGUUCUAUCUCCUAGUGCCGCACCACACUACGACUCGCAUCUCCACAGCACAACGUCUUGCCUCCUCUGUCGUCAAGCUUCUCGCACCAGACUUAUAAAGGGAAAAUGAUGUUAAGCAGAGAGCCAUGGAGAGUGAUCCUGACAAGGACUCGUUGUGGAAGAGUUGUUAUACUCCACGUAAUCAUGAUCACCAUUUUCUGGUUUAGAUAAAGAACAAAGCAAUUAAGACUUUCCAAAGCAUCAUGAUCUCUGUAACUAUAUGCUGUGAUGUUAAGAUUUGCCAUUAGUGGUGAUUCCAUCACGUGUCUUCGGUGAUUGAACCUCCGCGCCUCCGAGCUUUACCGAACUCCUCCACAUCGCCUCCGAGCUUCACCAAGUAGUACAUCCCAAUUCAAAUAGAAAACACCACCUAACAAAAUACACAGACACACAAUAUGAGAGCAAAAACUAGAAUUUGAACUUAGUAAUUUGGCCAAAAGAUACCUCUUGAAGUUUGUCAACUGCUUCAUCAAUUCCUGCAACAUCACAAAAUUCAUCAACCGCAUAUGUAUUCUCUCUGUCUCAUAUGUCCUCCUUCUUCUACAAUCAACACAAAGCAUAAACAAUUAGAGCUCAAACAAGGAAGGAAAGAAAGAAGCAUAAGAAUCUGAACAAGAAGAACCAUAAUCAUGACAACUCGUGUGAUCUCCUCCACAUCACUCCAUCAUCUGCUUCUUGCUGUGGCUGUUGGUGGAGCUGUGGUUCCAGUUGUGUAGUGUAUCAUCAAACAAAUUGUUCUGUGAGAAUUAGUAGGAAAAACUCAAGAAAAUUUAACUCAAAUGAAACAAGCCAUUAACACAAGUGUUCUCAAUUGACAUGUAAUUUUGAAGUAUGGGAAGGAACCGUACCAAAAGACUGAAAAUGAUUUCACCGCAUUCCUCUCAAAUCUCAAAGCAGCCACGUCUUGGUUGUUACAGCAAACCCAAAAAAAGAAAGAAAAUAAUUAGCUAAGGAAAAGCAUACAUGUCAACUAUAAUGUGACGACAAUCAUGAUUCAUGAACAUCUAGAAAUUAUGAAAAUAUAUGCACGUGCAGUCAAAAGAUUUACUACCUUCUCAGCAUUCAGAGUCACUAAGAUCCAUGAACAGCUUCCUCCAGACUUUUCUUCCCCUGGUUUGCUUCAAGAAAACAAUAAGAAACUUCAGUCAGGUAGCGGAAACAGAACAUCACACAAAUGUAGUAAGAGGAAUGGUUAGUUCUUUCUCCCCCAAACAUCACCACAACAAGACACACGAAGUACCAAAUAUCUCAAUGAAUGACUAAACAAGAUUUAGUUUUCUGCAAUAAAGUUCUAAAGAAGAUGAAGAAGCUUAUUUUCAUGUACAUACUUGCGAGUAAACAGUAGGAUAUCAAGAAAUAAAACCAUCAAAAGUAGACAUUUUAAGUGUAGAAUUCUGAGAUUGACAUUGAUAUAUGACUCCUGAGAUUGAUGGUAGAGAGCCAAAAGUAUCCAAACUCUUUGUUCAAGUUGUUGGGUGUACAGUGGUAGCCUUUCCACCACCAUGGAAAUCCUCUUUAACUCUCUCCACGAAGGCCAAUUGGAAUAUGCUUCCCAACAUAUUCAAUAGCAACAACACAAAGACAACACAAGAAGAUCAAUAUCGUUUUAAAAACGGAAAGAUAAACCCCCAAAUUUUGAAAACCUAAAAAAUUAAAUUUGGUUUCAUUUCCUUUUUGAAUUUCCUGGUCUCUUUCUCUAAAUUAACCAGUUUCAUCUUCAAAUCUAUGCGAACAGACAUGUAAAAUUUUGAUAUAUCAAAGCAGUUUUGAAGAUACAGAGGAUCCAAAGGGAAUAAGAGAUGCUUGAAGAGACACCACAAGAGCGCCACUAGAGACUACUACCUCGAACGGAUCUGUACCGGCUAGGGUUUUCAGUUUUGAAUCAGCGACUCAGGUUCUGGAUCGGAGAAUUUCUCUGGUGGCUUUCUCUUGGUCCGAUGUAACCGCAUAGAGCUCAACGAAGGGAGAAACCAAAAGCUCGCAUGGGACUUCGACGAAGAUUAAAAUCUUCUCUCUUAUCUCUUAUCUCCUCUCUCUUCACUCUUUUCUCUUCUCUCUUCUCUCUUCCCUCUUCUGUAUCUGCGUUAGGUGGUCAGUUUGGAACCCUAGAUCUAGAGAGCGAGAAUGAAAGAACAGAAGAUAAAAGAAGAACAUAAUUUCUUUUGUUCUUAAACAGUUUUCUAUUUUUUAUGUAAGUCACGCGGGACUUGAAAUUUUUUAGCCCGCUUCACCAAUUCAUAGCUUUUUAAUAUAUAUUCAGAAGCGCCGAUCACUAAAAAUUUCUCACGUUAAUAUGUAGAUAGCUUUGUAAUUUGGAAACGCUAUGUUAAAUUACGGGUCAUGCCAAACAUAGCAUUCACAUACAAAACGCUAUCUUCUUAUGCUAUCUUUACCCACUUCCCUUGUAGUGAAAGAAAGAACAAGAGAUCCUCAACACGUCUAGCUUCACCUUCGAAACCCAAGCUUCUAGAUCUAAACCCACCAAUUAUUUUCUCAAGCCAAAUCCCUAAUAAGGCGUCAAAAGAUCUCAACUUAUUGUCUUUCCUGGUCAUGCAAGAACAUCAUCAUGGUAUGUCUCAGUUUCUUCAUAUGCCCAAGAUCGGGAACACCAAUACAUCAUCUUCAAUCUACGCUUCAUCAUCUCCUGUCUCAGCUCUCGAGCUUCUAAGAUCCAAUGGAGUCUCUUCAAGAGGAAUAAAUACGUUCUUGCCAGGUCAAAUGAUGGAUUCAAACUUAGUUCUUUACUCAUCUUUAGCGUUUCCAACAAUGGCUGAUUACAAACAGAGUAACAAUAACCUUUCAUUCUCCAUUGAUCAUCAUCAAGGGAUUGGAAAUAACACCAUCAACAGUAACCAAAGAGCCGAAGAUAAUAAUCAUGCUGAUGACAUGAAUGGAGCAAGUAGGGUUUUGUUCCCUUUUUCAGAUAUGAAAGAGCUUUCGGGCACAACCCAAGAGAAGAGCCAUGGUAAUGAUACGUAUUGGAGUGGGAUCUUUAGUAAUACGGGGGGAUCUUCAUGGUGUAAAGAAAAGGGAUCUUCAUGGUGAAAAUUAAGAAAAGGUUAAAGAGAGAUCAUUAACUUAUUGGCUUUUCUUCUUCUUUUGUUCAUUUUCACAUGGCGUACUUUAGAUAAAGUUGUCAGAACUUAGAGCAUGCUUAUUGCAAGUGUCUUAGGUUGGGUCUGUUAGAGCAUCCGCAACAGCAGUUUUUAAGAGGGAGUUCUUAGGAAAAAAAUAAUUAAAUAAUCAGUGGAUCCCACCAAAAGCUAAGAAUUCAAUCCUUAAAAUCCCUAAAUAAUGACUCUUUCUUAGUGAAUUCUUACACUAUUUGUGGACCCCCACGACAUGUGGCAGUCCGCGUUUAGUUUUUAUUUUUAUUUUUAUCUUAAAAAGAAAAAAAAAUAAUAAUUAAAAAAUCAAAAAAACACUUUUUCUAAGGACUCCAAUGGGGUAUCACCAUCGGAGAUGCUCUUAUAUCUCUUAUUUAAGAGACGUCUCUUAACUUUUUUAGUUAAAAACUAAGAGACUGUAUCUU